GUUGGUUGUUAGACCAGUUUGAGUCGGUUACUGGACUUUGGCUUUUGAGAGCCUGAUUGAGCUCGACAGAGAUACGCUGCAUACUCGGUUGGGUAGCUCCCACGAGUGCCACUCCGGAGACGGGCUUUGUGCUUUCGCGUUGGUGUCGCUCAUGCCGGUUGGACUUGCUCUCCACGGACCAGUUAGUGUGGAGGUAGCUGGAUAGUCGCAACUGGGCAGGGACGGGUGUAUUCACAGUCCCAGGGACGGGUAGGUUUACAGUCCCGAUUGGAUUGGGUCAGAUUUGACAUUUCCUACAGUUGGUUAGUGUAGAGCAUGAUAGUGUAGUGAUUGAUAGCGGUAGAGUUUAUUUCCUGCUUUUCUGACUAUUCUUGCUCCCUUCUGUAGACUUAGUGGGUGGACCGAUGUUGUUUUGGGCGGUACCCACUGAGGACUACUUGUUUUUACAGUAGUUCUCACGCCCUGUUGUUACCCCUGUUUUGCAGAGUCACAGGUUUCGGCUGCUGCACCUUCCGCGGAUCAGGAUCGAGGCAAGGGCGUCGCGAGUUAGAGCCCUACCCGCCGAGCAGAGCUAGAGGCACCCUACUGCAGGUAGUUGUUUUAUUUCGAGCUUAUGUACAUAGUACUUAACUCGCCAGUGCGAGUAACUCUGUAUUUUGAUUUUUGAACUAUGUAUAUGAAGCUCAGUUUGUUUAGCUUUUGUUUACUCUAGCAGCUCUAUACUACUGUUUGUAGUAUUGUAUGGUUUACAGGUACAGCUGUCGCUUCGUAUACAGAAAAAAUUUCUUUGUAUACGGCGGAUUUGUCGGCGUGCUCGGGGAACGUGUAAUCCGGGGCGUGACAGAUUAAGUUGGUAUCAGAGCUUUGCUGUAGGUCGUUGGGACCUAGAAAACCUAAGUUUGGCAAACUUUAGGAAAGUCAGACGCGAGAGGUGUAAUGUAAUUGCGAAAGUCAAUGAUUAUUUAUUCUAACUCCUCCUAGAGUGGAGUGAGUGACCGAAGGAGUUCCUGUUUUGGCCUGAGAAAUUAUGUUGGCUGCAGACGACAUAAUUUUGGAGGGAAACAGGGACCGCCUUCUAGACUUUCGUUGAUUGGGUCAAGAGUGUUUGUGUUUCAACUAACCCCGAUCUGUUCUUUUCAGCUAUGUAUCCUCGCCGAGGUCGACCGUCAUUGCGGGAGCAUGCUUAGUUGGCGCGGGAUCGUGCGGGACCUCCUGAGAGACCUGACCAGAUGGGGCAGAGUACUUGACAGGAGCAGGGUGACAGACCGGAGGCUAGCGCGCCCCCUGAUUUGCGUGCUCAGUUGGCUUCCCUGACAGAGGUGACGAGGUAGCAGGGGAAGUUGUUGCAGAGGUUGUGUGAGAGGGUGGCUCAGACAUCGAGUGCAGUACCGAGGGCAGCGGAGCAGAUUGUUCCGCCACCGACAACUCCAGUGGCCGCACCAGCCGUAGCUGUAUCUCCACCAGCGGAGAUUCCGGCCGUGCCAGUUGCGCCUGCUAGGGGGCCAGUACAGUUGACAGAUGCCGAGCAGGAGCGGUGUACGGAGAGGUUGGCUCGUUUUCGCCGUUUUGAUCCACCAAUUUUCGAUGGCAGUUGCACUGAGGUCUGGGUUGUUGAGGGAUGGGUCAGUGCGAUGGAGAAGCUAUUCGAGGAUCUUUUCAUUCCUGAGGGGGAGUAGGUGUCUUUGGGAGUCCAUUGUUUGGCAGGUGACGCCCACGCCUGGUGGCGGAGAGUGAGGAGAGAGCAGGGACUGGUAGCAUUGCAGCUGAGAUGGGAUGAGUUCUGUGGAAUGCUGUUUGGGAUGUUCUUUCCCAACAGUGUGAAGCAGAAGCUCGAGGAGGAUUUGAGGAGGCUUCAGUAGGGGGAUCGUCCAGUGCAGGAGUACAUUCGGGAGUUUACUCGACUCCUGAAUUGUGUGCCAUUUGUGGCCAGAGACGAGGCGCACAGGGUGUACAUGUUCGAGCGGGGGCUGAGACCAGACAUCUUCAGGUUGGCGCGGACGCAGAGGUCGAGGACCCUGGAUGCGUCCAUAGAGCAGGCCUUAUGGGUAGAGAGAGGUGAGGUGUCACUCCAGGAGAGGACUCAGGCCGUGGGGUAGGGUCAGGACAGGAAGCGCCCCUUUCCAGAUGACGGAGGGCAGUCGAGCAGCAGACGUCCGCCGAGACCUCCACGAUCACGUUCUCAGGGUCGUGGAUCUUCGGGGCGUCAGCGUUUCAGGGGAUCCCGUCAGUAGGGGCAAACUGAGAGGACUCCACAGUGUGUGAUCUGCGGGGGACCACACUGGCCCCGGCAGUGCGAGCAGAGAGAGGGCAGGUGCUACGGAUGUGGUCAGCCGGGACACAUGAGGGUAGCUUGUCCCCGAGUAGCAUCUCCAGCACCAUCAUCAGCUUCAGCCCCAUCAGCACCCCAGCAGUCUUACGGAGCAGCACCGAGUUACCGCCAGGAGUAUAGAUCGUCGACGCCUCGUCAGGGUGAGCGGCGACAGCAGGCUCCGAGUGGCAGAGUCUACGCAGCUCAGGUGGAGGACUCUACAGCAGCCGACCGAGUAGUGGCAGGUAUCACUUUGAUUUUCGGCAUUCGUACUCGUACUCUUGUUGAUACUGGAGCCUCGCAUUCUUUUGUUAGCCGAGCAUUUGUAUUGUUGCAUGGUCUAGAGUUAGGGGCAUUGUCACAGGCACGAGAGGUGCAGAUCCCGGACUAUGUUUUACAGGUUGCAGAGUGUUGUUGGUCGUGUCCGGUGCAGUUGGAUUCGUGGGUCAUGCCCGCAGACCUGUUGGUGCUAGGGCAGCUGCAGGACUUCGACGUUGUGCUCGGUAUGGAUUGGCUGGCGCGGUGCUAUGCUACUAUUGAUUGUGGAGCGAGGACAGUGACGUUCCGUGAGCCAGGCCAGGAGGAGUUCACUUUCAGAGGCUGCAGGAGCACGUUGUUUGCCACCUGGAUAUCUUCGGCGAGGGCUCGACAGCUGAUGAGUAGAGGAUGUGUGGCCUUUCUGGCGACUGUUGUUGAGGUACCUGUGGCGGCACCAGGACUCGAGGAUAUUCCUGUAGUCCGCGAGUUUCCGGAUAUGUUUUCUCAUGAGUUGACUUUGUUGCCGCCGGAGAGAGAGAUUGAGUUUGUGAUUAAUGUAGUUCCUGGAACUGCACCAAUCUCAAAGGUACCUUAUCGGAUGGCACCGGCUGAGCUGAGAGAGCUAAAGGCGCAGCUUCAAGAUCUGAUGGAUAAGGGGUAUGUGAGACCCAGUGUAUCACCUUGGGGAGCACCGGUGUUAUUUGUAAAGAAGAAAGAUGGUUCGCUCAGGUUAUGUGUUGAUUACCGGGAGCUGAAUAAAGUGACCAUCAAGAACAAGUACCUCUGCCGCGCAUUGAUGAUCUGUUCAAUCAGCUGCAAGGAUCUUGUGUCUUUUCGAAGAUUGAUCUCUAGUCAGGUUACCACCAGUUGAGGGUGAGGGCCGAGGAUGUUCCCAAGACGGCAUUUCGGACUCGGUACGAGCAUUAUGAGUUCACGGUGAUGCCUUUUGGAUUGACGAAUGCCCCUGCCGCAUUCAUGGAUUUGAUGAACAGAGUGUUAAAGCCGUUUUUGGAUAGAUUUGUUGUAGUCUUCAUCGACGACAUCUUGAUUUACUCCCGGAGUGAUGUUGAGCAUGAGGAGCACUUGAGGAUUGUGCUAUAGCUUCUGCGAGAGAAGAAGUUGUAUGCCAAGUUGAAGAAGUGCGAGUUCUGGCUACGGGAGGUUGCUUUCUUGGACCACGUGAUUUCAGCAGAGGGCGUAGCAGUGGACCCGAAGAAGAUUGAUACUAUUCGGGAUUGGCCUAGACCGACGAUGGUGACUGAGGUGCGGAGCUUUCUGGGACUGGCAGGGUAUUACCGUCGGUUUGUGGAAGGCUUUGCGAAGCUUUCCACACCCCUCACACGCUUGACGCGGAAGGGGAUUCGUUUUGUCUGGAGCGACGACUGUCAGAGGAGCUUUGACGAGUUUAGACUGAGGUUGACGUCAGCUCCUAUCCUUACCCUUCCGGUGAUGGGGGAUGGAUUAGUGAUCUACAUUGAUGCAUCGCACAGUGGACUUGGUUGCCUACUGAUGCAGCAUGGUGGGGUGAUUGCUUAUGCUUUACGACAGUUAAAGAAUUAUGAGAAGAAUUACCCUACGCAUGACUUGGAGCUUGCCGCGGUGGUUUUUGCUUUGAAGCUCUGGCGGCAUUACUUGUACGGCGAGCACUGUGAGGUCUUCACCGAUCAUAAAAGUCUCAAGUAUCUGUUCACACAGAGGGUGUUGAACCUGAGGCAGCGCCGAUGGUUGGAAUUACUGAAGGACUAUGACAUUAGUAUUCAGUAUCAUCCCGGCAGGGUGAAUGUUGUGGCAGAUGGUUGAGCAGGAAGUCAGUGUGUGACGCACUGGACCUUUGCAAAUUGCGAGGUUCGAGUGUUUGGGUAUACUUCGAGCUUUUCCACACUUGGUGGAGGAUUGUAGAAUGUUUUCCGACCUAAAAAGUUCGAAAAUCGGAAUUCUUGACAAGUCCUGAGAGUUUUCACUCUCGGGGACCGGUCCCUGGGAGGAGAGACCGGUCCCCCCAGUGAGCAGUGUUGAGGCAGCCUGAGGCAACCGGUCCCUGGCAGGCGAGACCGGUCCCCGAGCGCGUCUUCGCAGUGAGAGACCGGUCCCGCGCAGGGAGAGACCGGUUCCCGAACGCUGGUUUUUCGGGUUCGCAGCGAGAGACCGGUCCCUGCUGGGGAGAGACCGGUCCCUCUGGGCGAAAACUGUCCAGACCAGGCUGUUGCAAUAAUGAAUUUUUGAGGGGCCUCACUGGAUUUUGUUACAUUAGAUGGGCUUAUUAGCCAUUUCCUCCUCUUCCCUCUCUCAUUCUCUCAUUUUCACCCUCUCCCUACAUUUUCUAGAGACAGAAGAAGAAGAAGAAGGAGGAGAAGAAGAAGAGGAGCUAGUUUGAGGGAGCUUGGAGCUCAACCCCUUUCUCUCUUUCCCACCUUUGCAAGGCUUGGAGCUUGCUUGUAGAGCUUAGUGGUGGACCAAACUUCAACCCUAGGGCAUUUUGGGCUUGGAUUGAAGCUUCCAAAGGGUUAGUAUCAUGUUUCCCUCCUCUAGAUUCUUGUUUUUGUGAUUUUUGGGAGAUGAAACCCUAGAAAUGAGAUUUAGGGCUUAUUUUGGGCAUUUUUGAUCUAGGGCUUUUGGACCCAAAUCGAUUGGCUUAGAACCUUCCUAGGGCUUGGAUUGGAAGGGUUCUAGCUCUCUUUUGGAGCUUUGGGAGAGAUUUCUACUCUUGAGGUAAAUUUUGGCCCUUUUUGCUCCUAGGUUAAUGUUUGAUCUCUCGGAUGGUCGUAAUGCCCUCGUAUCUCUUCGCUGAUUACUUUUAGGGUAUUGUGAGACUCGUGGACAACUCCGUUCGGUGAUUCGAAGGAGCACGCGACGGUUCGGUGGGUUUGACCUAGCCUUCAUAUGAGAAAUACUCAUAUAUGAUGAAAUGGGUUUCGUAAAUUGAAAAAGCAUGCGUAAUCAUGUUAGAUAUAUUUAUUGUGAAUUUUAGGAUGUUUAAUAUGCCUAUGUUAUGUGUAAGGAAAUUUCGGACCCCUAUAUAGUAGAGAACUAGCAUGUGGUACUUGCACAUAUUUGGCAUCCUUUUUAGACUUGGAAUCAUAACUCCUAUUGUGAAAAUGAGCACCUCUUGCAUGCAUUUAGGGACUAUUCCUAUAUUGAACUUGAAGGUUCUUGGUAGGCCAUAAAGAGGCUCGGGGACUUGUGUUAUUGUGAAUAGUUGGGCUAAUGUCAUGAAGGGGCAUUGAGCUCGGGUCAUGUGUAAACCUAGUGGAUAGUGCCAUUGAAAGAGUUGGAUAUGCUUGUUCAUUAAAAUGUCUAAGUGUCAUAAAGGGGCACAAGACUUAGUAUAUUGGAACUUCAUAUUGUGAAUUAAACUAGAUCUUCGGGAUGCUAGUGACUAUACCAUGUUAGAGACAUGAGAUUGGAUACUUGAGACUUGGACUAUGCUUGCUUGCCAUUUGUGCUCAUUCGCACAUGCUUGUGAGGGUCGCUCCCUACAAGCCGGCACUCCGGAGUUAGCCUACGCGACUUUUGAUCGCUAGUGCGGUAUUGAGAAGCCUACGGGGUCGAGUGGGACAGACACAUUCCAAGAGUAGGAAUGUCGGGCUAUCACAGGCACUUAGGCGGCACAAGCUGGACUACCUUGGGUGGGUUCUUGAUUGGAAAUGGGAAUCGACACAGUGUUGAGAAUUAAUAAUCACUACUAGUUAGGUUUAGCAGUUGGAUUACUUUGACAUGCUCAUGAUAUAGCAUUGGUACAUGUAGCACACUUGCCGGUUUCUUUGUUGCAUUGUAGUAUACUCGGUUGCUUGGUUAGAGCUUACUCUUUAUGCAUUGGACAUAUUAUCUUAUGAUAGCGUAGAUGUACAUCACUAUGACAUCAUGUUUACUUGAGAUAUAACGGUUUAGCUCUUCAAUUAUGCUUUCGUAUUGUUGUUGCUAUUACUCUUAUUAUUGCUUAUAGUACUUACCCUUUUCUUUUGGGGCCUAGUGGUGCAUAGAGCUGAGGUCAGUAAUUGCCCACUGGGAACUAUAAAAUUAUAGUUCUCAUGCCCUCUUUUUCUCGAUGUUUUUCAAAGCCUUCCACUCAGGGUGAGGCCAGGGAUCGCGGGAAGGGAGUUGCUUCGAGCUAGCUUCCUACGAGGACGACUCGCUAGGUGGUCUACCUCUCGUUGUACUUUAUUUUGGAGAGGUUGAGAGUUUUACCAGUGUACUAGAGACCACCGUUUUUGUAUUAGAGGCUGAUAUUGUAUAACUUACGUUUACUCUUAUGUAUUAGUUAUGUUCUACUACUAUUAGUAUAGAUGUUAGAACCUUACUCGCUCUGAUAUCAUUAGUUGCUUGUUAUUUCACUUCUUCUACUUGUCUUACUACUUGCUUUUACUUCCGCUUUCAUUCUAGACGCCUUAUAUGUGUAGACAUAUGGCGGGUCUGGGCACGCUACCGGGAGGGCCUCCGCCGGUCCCGGGGCGUGACAGAUUAAUUUGGUAUCAGAGCCUAGGGUUGAGUCUUAGUGGACCUAGCGAACCUUAGGCCGGUUGGACUAUAGGAAUUAGGCUCGUGAGAGACGAGGUCUAAUUGACUUGUGAGCGAAAGUAUUAUGAUUGGGUUUAUGACAACUCUAAAAAGUUAGAGUUUGAUCGGAGUGUAUGGCUUCUAACUUCGCGGAGGGUUACGUUGGCGGCCGACAACGUAACAUCGGGAGUUAGUAGUGAAGGACACUUCCUUACUUUCGCAUGAUUUGGGAUUUUAUCUACUUGAGCGGGGAUGCGAUAGCGUGGGUUACUAACUUGCGCUUUUAUGUUCUGUAGUGACGAUGCCGAUUACUCGCUCCCAGUCUGCCGGGGCGGAUGAUGCGGCACACCCCGAGGAGGUCGAGACCUCCGCUACUUCCGGAUCUAGUGAGGUCCGUGACUUGAGGGCCCAGCUUGCGGUUCUCACUGACCUGUUGGCGCAGCAGACGGCAGCGGCGCAUCGACAGGCUGAGGUAGCUCAGCGGCAGGAGGCGCGGAUGAAGCAUCUUGAGGACCUCCUACUUCAGCAGGCGGCAGCAUCGAGGGAGACCCAGGGCCCUACACCGCAAGCACCCGUGGUGGACGUCGCACCGAGGGCGCAGUCCCCCGCGCCCAGCUCUUCACGUGCGGCACCGGCGACCGCACCUCAGGAGGAGGUGGUUGCGGCACUACCUGUUCAGAGACCGGCGACCGGGGCAGCAUUCCCCGUGAUGGCCGAAGGAGCCGAGCGGGAUCGACUCAUGGAGCGCCUCAGUGAGUUCAGGAGGUGCAGCCCGAGGAUGUUUGAUGGCGAGAAUAUCGACCACUGGAUCGUUGAGAAGUGGUUGAUGCACAUGGAGAAACUAUUUCGAGAUACCUUCGUUGAGGAGAGGGACAGGGUUUGGCUCGCCACUCACUUUCUUGACGGCGAGGCCUACCGUUGGUGGUUGGACAUCCAGGACAAUCCCAGCACUGACUUGACAGCGAUCACAUGGACGCGAUUCAAGGAGUUUCUUCUGGCGCACUACUUUCCUACUAGCGUCAAGAGGAAGAUGGAGCAGGACUUGCGUAGCUUGCGCCAGGAUGAGCGGUCCGUGGCCGAGUACGAGAGGGAGUUUUCUCGAUUACUCCAUUGUGUACCGUUUGUUGUGAGGGACGACGAGGACGAGGCCCGCAUCUUUGAGCGCGGUUUGCGGCCUUCUAUCUUCCGGUUGGUGCAGUCUUCCAACCUCCAGACCUACCGGGAGGUUGUGGAUCGAGCUUUGAUAGUGGAGGCAGGAGCGGCGGAUCUGCAGGAGCGUCGCGAGAGCUUGGAGAAAGGGAAGGGGAAGAGACCCGCGGCUGAGGGUGCGAGUCAGACGCACUCACGGAGGCCGCCGAGGCAUCCCAGGAGCAGGAGCCAGUCGCGAGGACGCGGCCAGUCUACCCAGCGAGGAGGACCCGAUCGUCGCCAGGCUCCCCGCUGCGUGAUCUGUGGCGGCCCUCAUUACCCACGACAGUGUACACGCAGCCGGGGCAGGUGCUUCUUGUGUGGCCAGGAGGGCCACUUCCAGUCGGACUGCCCGAGGAGUCCAUUGCCAGCGCCAUCUGCGGCAUCUGCACCAGCAUCGCCAGGUCCCAGCCAGGGGACAUCUUCUGCGCAUCACCAGGCAGGACGGCCGCCAGUUCUGCGACAGGCGGAGGGGUCACGACAGGCCCCGAGCGGGCGCAUGUAUGCGGCCCAGACUGAGGAGGCGGCAGCAGCCGAGAAUGUGGUCGCAGGUAUCAUUUUACUUUAUGGUAUUCGAGCUAGAGCUUUGUUUGAUACCGGUGCAUCGCACUCAUUUAUAGACCGGCUGUUUGCCGAGUUUCAUGGCAUCCCAUUUGUAUCUUUGUUACAUCCCGGCCGAGUCGUAGUACCCGAUUACUCUUUAGACAUUCGGGAGUUUUUCCCCAGUUGCCCUGUUAGGAUUGGAGAUUGAAUCAUGCCCGUGGACUUGCUAGCUUUGCACAAACUCGGGGAGUUUGAUGUUGUGUUGGGCAUGGAUUGGCUGACCAAGUACUUUGCCACCAUCGAUUGUAAGAAUCGAACGGUGACAUUUAGAGAGCCGGGGCAGGCGGAGGUUGUGUACCGAGGAUGCCAGAGUUCGCUGUUUGCGAUGACGAUUAGCUCCUCCCGAGCUAGGCAGUUGAUUAGUAGAGGCUGCGUAGCCUACUUGGCUACUGUUGUGUUGCGGGGAGAGGAUGACGCCCCUAGGAUUGAGGAUAUUCCCGUAGUACGGGAGUUUGGAGAUGUGUUUCCAGCGGAGCUACCAGGCAUGCCUCCUGAUAGGGAGAUUGAGUUUGUGGUAGAUCUCGUCCCCGGGACUACCCCGAUCUCAAAGGCACCCUAUAGAAUGGCACCAGCAGAGUUGAGGGAGCUGAAGGCACAGUUGCAGGACCUCCUGGAUAAGGGUUUUGUACGACCGAGUGUGUCACCUUGGGGGGCACCGGUUUUGUUUGUGAAGAAGAAGGAUGGAUCACUUCGCUUGUGCGUGGACUAUCGUGAACUUAACAAAGUCACGAUCAAGAACAAGUAUCCAUUACCGAGGAUUGAUGAUCUAUUUGAUUAGCUCCAGGGAUCUUGUGUAUAUUCCAAGAUUGACUUGCAGUCGGGAUAUCACCAGUUGAGGAUCAGACCUGAGGAUGUGUCGAAGACGGCUUUUAGAACACGGUAUGGACACUAUGAGUUUACCGUUAUGCCGUUUGGGCUUACUAAUGCCCCGGCAGCUUUUAUGGAUCUGAUGAACCGUGUUUUCAAGCCUUAUUUAGACAGAUUUGUCGUGGUGUUCAUCGACGACAUCUUAGUGUAUUCCCGGAGUGACUCGGAUCACGAGGAACACUUGAGACUUGUACUUCAAGUGCUUCGGGAAAAGAAGCUCUAUGCCAAGUUGAAAAAGUGUGAAUUUUGGCUUAGAGAGGUGGCGUUUUUGGGCCAUGUGAUUUCAGGAUCAGGCAUAGCCGUGGACCCGAGGAAAAUUGAAGCUAUCAAGGAUUGGCCGAGGCCGACGAGUGUGACCGAGAUACGGAGCUUCAUUGGUUUGGCCGGCUACUACCGACGGUUUGUCGAGGGAUUUGCGAAGUUAUCUACUCCCCUCACGAGACUCACGCAUAAGGGUACAAAGUUCAUUUGGAAUGAUGCGUGUGAAAGGAGCUUCCAAGAGUUGAAGCAGCGAUUGACGACCGCCCCGAUCCUAACCUUGCCGACCGCUGGAGCAGGGUAUGUGAUUUAUAGUGAUGCUUCCUUCAAUGGAUUGGGCUGUGUUUUGAUGCAGGACGGGAAGGUGAUCGUGUAUGCAUCUCGCCAAUUGAAGGAAUAUGAAAGAAACUAUCCUACCCAUGAUUUGGAGUUGGCGGCCGUAGUCUUUGCCUUGAAACUAUGGCGCCACUACUUAUACGGCGAGCGAUGUGAAUUAUAUACGGAUCACAAAAGCUUAAAGUAUCUAUUCACUCAGAAGGAGUUGAACUUGAGGCAGCACAGAUGGUUGGAGCUACUCAAGGAUUAUGAUUUGACGAUACUUUACCACCCGGGCAAGGCUAACGUGGUGGCGGAUGCGCUAAGUCGGAAAUCGACUAAGAACUUAGCGAUGCUUAUGGUUACUCAACCGCCGUUGAUUGAGUAGAUGAAGCGGUUGGAGUUGGAGGUGGUGGCUCCUGAUACACCUUUGAGACUGACGACUUUGGUGGUGCAACCUACACUUUUGGAUAGGAUUAAAGAAAAGCAAGCUUCCGACUCUAGAGUUGCAAAAGGUUCGAACUAAGAUGGUUGAUGGUCAGUCAGAGCGGACCAUACAGACUCUAGAGGACAUGCUGAGGGCAUGCGUCCUGGAUUUUGGAGGAGGGUGGUAUCGACAUGUGAGACUGGUUGAGUUUGCGUACAACAACAGCUAUCAAACGAGCAUUCAGAUGGCUCCGUUUGAGGCGUUGUAUGGACGCAGAUGUCGAUCCCCCCUGUUUUGGAGCAAUGUGGGUGAGCGGAGGACACUUGGACCGGAGAUUCUACUUGAGGCUGAGGAGAAGGUGAGAGUUGUUCGACGACACUUUCUGACAACCCAGAGCCGACAGAGGAGCUACGCCGAUACCAGGAGAUGAGACUUGGAGUUCCAGGUUGGAGAUCAUGUAUUCCUUAAAGUCUCGCCGUCCAGAGGGAUUCGCCGAUUUGCAGUACGGGGAAAGCUCAGUCCACGGUUUGUUGGCCCUUUCGAGGUAUUGGAGCGAGUGGGACCAGUAGCAUACAGGAUCGCUCUACCCCCGCGACUAGCUGGCAUUCACGAUGUCUUCCACGUCUCAGCAUUGAGGAGAUAUGUUUUCGAUCCCUCUCACGUGAUUGACUUCACUCCACUAGAUAUUGGCGAGGAUCUGAGAUACGAGGAGCGACCAUUGCGGAUUUUUGCUUAGGAGACGAAAGAAUUGCGCAAUCGGGUCAUCCCGUAUGUGAAAGUGCAGUGGAGCAAUCACGAGGAGCGGGAGGCGACUUGGGAGCUUGAGACGGUGAUGAGAGAGUCCUACCCCGAUCUGUUCGUAACUCCGUGUUGAGGUAUGUUUAAGUUUCGAGGACGAAACUUUUUGUAGUGGGGGAGGAUGUAGUAUCCUUGUUAUAUUUAUUAAGUAAUUAAUUUACUUAUUUAUUUUUAGGUCGGUUGGUGCUAAUUGAGGUGGCUUGGAUGCCACGUGCACCCAUGCAUGCUUAUCAUCAAAUCAGGUGGGCAUUGCCUAAUUUUUUUUACUUCUCUCUUUGUUCGACCGAAGCAAAGAGCUCGGUGGAGGUAGCCGCGAGCACGAGUUCGACGCCGACGACGCGUCGCGAAGCCAUUCGAGGGUACGGUUGGGAUCGUAGCGCUGCGAGGAAGCUAGGCGAGGGUGCGUUUUCGCCGUUCUCGACGCCGCGUCGAUGUCCGAUUAGCCUUUGAGGUGAGUGUUCCGUUGCAUUGCUUCAAGUAUUGUCAUUUCGAGCUUGGUGCUGAUUUGCAGAAUUUCCAGCGUCGACCGUUGGUAUUUCAGUUCGUACUCGGCGUAGGAGCGUCGAUUUUCGACGGGACUUGGUUCGUUGAAUUCGGGACUUCGAGAGAAAUCCACGAAGCCCUUACUUACUGGAUUUGGUAAAGGUUUGCUAGGUCGGAAUUUCGCUCCUCUCUAUUGCUGUUUUUGAGGUAGAAUUAAUGUUUAUUGUCGGAUUCUCCGUGUAGAGUUUGGCGGGAGCUUGACUUCGGGCCUUGGGAGGUUUUCGGACGUUUCGGCAGGUUGUUCCGCAGCCGAGGGGAGUUCCGUGCUGCAAGGGAUUAGCGAGCGAGGUGGGUUAAUCAUCGGUUUAUACUCCUAAGUGCUUAGUAGUCAACAUGUAUGAAUUUUAGAUUUUGUGCAGUUUACUUUAGCUCGAAUUCAUGGAUUAUUAUGUGAAUGGCUAAUCUGAAUUUGGAGCAUGUGAUAAUAAAUUAAAUAAAUAUACAUGUUGGACUUGGAACUUGACUUAGGAGAAAACAAGCGUUUUGGGACCUGUCACCUGUUUAAAUUACCUGAUUUAGCCCUAGGGGCCGUUGUAUUAAUUUAUACUGUUGCAGUAUCCGCAAAGUAAGUAUUCCAGGUAGUUUAGUUUUCAGUUACGCUCGUGCUGGAAUGCCGAGUGUUUUUUACUGUAGCGUUCAGGCUGUUCCGGAUUGUUGGGUGCCGUCGGGAUUGACGGUGGACCUGUAUCGCCUUUUUGGCGUUGGAUUGUGUCGAGGACACGACACCUGUUGGUUGUUAGACCAGUUUUAGUCGGUUACUGGACUUUGGCUUUUGAGAGCCUGAUUGAGCUCGACAGAGAUACGCUGCAUACUCGGUUGGGUAGCUCCCACGAGUGCCACUCCGGAGACGGGCUUUGUGCUUUCGCGUUGGUGUCGCUCAUGUCGGUUGGACUUGCUCUCCACGGACCAGUUAGUGUGGAGGUAGCUGGACAGUCACAACUGGGCAAGGACGGGUGUAUUCACAGUCCCAGGGACGGGUAGGUUUACAGUCCCGAUUGGAUUGGGUCAGAUUUGACAUUUCCUACAGUUGAUUAGUGUAGAGCAUGAUAGUGUAGUGAUUUAUAGCGGUAGAGUUAUUUCCUACUUUUUUCCUACUACCUUUGCUCCCUACUGUAGACUUAGUGCGUGGACCGAUAUUGUUUUGGGCGGCACCCAUUGAGGACUAUUUGUUUUUACAGUAGUUCUUACGCCCUGUUGUUACCCCUGUUUUGCAGAGCCACAGGUUUCGGCUGCUGCGCCUUCCGCGGAUCAGGAUCGAGGCAAGGGCGUCGCGAGUUAGAGCCCUACCCGCCGAGCAGAGCUAGAGGCACCCUACUGCAGGUAGUUGUUUUAUUUCGAGCUUAUGUACAUAGUACUUAACUCGCCAGUGCGAGUAACUCUGUAUUUUGAUUUUUGAACUAUGUAUAUGAAGCUCAGUUUGUUUAGCUUUUGUUUACUCUAGCAGCUCUAUACUACUGUUUGUAGUAUUGUAUGGUUUACAGGUACAGCUGUCACUUCGUAUACAGGAAAAAUUUCUUUGUAUAUGGCGGAUUUGUCGGCGUGCCCGGGGAACGUGUAAUCCGGGGCGUGACACCAAAUCCAAGAACACCCAACAAAUGAGCCACCUGAAAAUUUGAAUCACAUCAUCGAAAAGAAACUCGGUUUAGUGCAAAAUCAAAUAAUUUGACAACCAAAUUCAUUUGUUGAUGGAGAAAUUAUUUUAAAACUCAAAAUUAACAAAUUGAUAUGUAACCAUAUAUCCAAAAUGCCCAUAGCCAUGUCAUUAAUAUUACUCAAAAGAUAUGACUCAAAAAUUAUCUUAGCACCUUUCCGAAGGAUACGAGACAUGUGGUAAAUGCUAAUUUUUCACAAAUAAUGGCAUGAAUUUACAACUAGCUUUGAUACAUGUUACGUAACAACAAAAUAAGACCAUUAAUUUCUGGACUUCUGCAACAACAAAAAACCUGGCAACAAACUAAAAAUUACUAUAACAAGGUAAUCAAUAAAAACAAGAUGUUGAGAGGAAUAGUCCUAACUAAAUCCUAUAACAAUUAGAUCCUAUUAAGAGAUUUAAAAAGAAGGCUAGUACACAUGAACCACUAAUUGGCUGAUACUAGUUCAAUUCAAGAUGAGAGCUCCACCAUACAUGACUGUUUUACAAAGAGAAAAAGAGAUUAAUCUAAGCGAUAAUACAUCUAACUUAAUUCGAAGCCAGAGAAGCUGUAGCGAAGGUCAUGCAUUUAUCAAUGCCAAAUUCUUCUGUGAAACGAAGCAAUCAGAAUGAUACAAGCCAAGUAAGCACAAUGCAACUUGCCUAAAGGAGACAAUAUUUUAACAAAAUUAUGGUAGACCACUAUUACAGUUGUUAACAUCACUAAAGAAGCUGAAGAGCAUAAAACUGUCUCUGUUAGUACAUCGUACUUCAGCCUUCUCCAAGUAUCAACAAAAGUCAGCACACAUGUAGAGGAAAUAAGUACUUUGACAUAUUUUCACAAGAAUAUUAUUUGAUCUUUACCUUAUUGGCCCCUGCUGGAUCAGAAGACAAGUCCUUAGGCACUAUCGAAUUGGGGACCUCAAGAUCAUCAUCCUCUGUUAAGGAUUUGUAUGAUCCUUUGCAUUAUUGUUUGCUUUUGUUUAAGUAAAUUCAAUUCUCUCGCACUUAACCAUCUGGGAUGAUAAUUAGGGACCAUGAUAGCAACUAGUUGUUGAAUAUUUUGUGUAGAUGGUGAUGCACAAAAUCCACUAUUCUGUCCAUUUGCACCUGAGUAACCUUUAUGUGCCAAAAGAUCUUCAUCGUUGAUCACAUCAUUCACAUCCAUAAACUGGUCACAAACAUCUAAUCCUGCACUAGAAUAUUCUUGUAAAUAUGAAAUAAGAUUCUCAAGAUAUGGACGAGAGAUUACAAUAAGAAGGAAAAGCAAAAUGCCACUAUAAAGUUAAUCUGCAAGACACAAGGGAAAAUACCUGUAACAGACCAAAAUCGUUUAUUCAAAAAAAUGUGUAACUAUGUCUUUUCGAAGAUUGAUCUCCAGUCAGGUUACCACCAGCUGAGGGUAAGGGCCGAGGAGGUUCCCAAGACGGCUUUUCGGACUCGGUACGGGCAUUAUGAGUUUAUGGUGAUGCCUUUUGGAUUGACGAAUGCCCCUGCCGCAUUCAUGGAUUUGAUGAACAGAGUGUUCAAACCGUUCUUGGACAGGUUUGUGGUAGUCUUCAUCGACGAUAUCCUGAUUUACUCCCGGAGCGAUGCUGAGCAUUAGGAGCACUUGAGAAUUGUGCUACAGCUUCUGCGACAGAAGAAGUUGUAUGCCAAGUUGAAGAAAUGCGAGUUCUGGUUACGAGAGGUUGCUUUCUUGGGCCACGUGAUAUCAGCAGAGGGAGUAGCAGUGGACCUGAAGAAGAUUGAUGCUAUUCGGGGUUGGCCCAGACCGACGACGGUGACAGAGGUGAGGAGUUUUCUUGGAUUAGCAGGAUAUUACCGUCGGUUUGUGGAAAGCUUUGCGAAGCUUUCAACACCCCUCACUCGAUUGACGCGGAAGGGGAUUAGAUUCAUCUGGAGUGAGGAUUGUUAGAGGAGCUUUAAUGAGUUGAGACAGAGGUUGACGUCAGCUCCUAUCCUUGCCCUUCUUGUGAUGGGGGGAAGGAUUUGUGAUCUAUAGUGAUGCAUUGCACAGUGGACUGGGGUGUGUGUUGGUGCAGCAUGGUAGGGUAAUUGUUUAUGCUUCACGGCAAUUAAAGGAUUAUGAGAAGAAUUACCCUACGCAUGACUUGGAGCUUGCCGCGGUAGUCUUUGCUUUGAAGCUAUGGCGACAUUACUUGUACGGCGAGCACUGCGAGAUUUUCACGGAUCAUAAAAGUCUCAAGUAUCUGUUCACACAGAAGUAGCUGAACCUCAGGCAACGCCGGUGGUUAGAGUUACUGAAGGACUAUGACAUUAGUAUUCAGUAUCAUCCUGGUAGGGCGAAUGUAGUGGCAGAUGCGUUGAGCAGGAAGUUAGUGCAGAGCCUGAGUUUGAUGAUCACUGAGCAGAGGCCAUUACUCAGGAGUUCCAGUGGCUGAGGCUUGAGAUAGUGUCCCCUUGGUAUACUGCGAGACUGAUGUCUCUGGUCUUGCAGCCCACUCUGUUGGAUAGGAUCCGAGAGAAACAGAGUGGAGAUCCGUACUUGUCGAGGAUUCGAAAGCAGCUACAUAGGGGACAGGCUGAGGGUUUUACUGUGGACAGUUCGGGAGUACUACAGUACAGGGACCGACUGUGUGUGCCGGUGGAUUCAGGGAUCCGAGAGGACAUCUUGAGUGAGGCUCAUUGUUCUCCUUAUACGGUUCACCCUGGGGGAACCAAGAUGUAUAAGGACUUAAAGGAACAGUUUUGGUGGAAUGGAAUGAAGAGAGACAUUGGCAGAUAUGUGGCUCAGUGUUUGACUUGCCAACAGGUGAAGGCCGAGCAUCAGGUACUUGCUGGCAAGCUUCAGAGUCUGCCAGUGCCCGAGUGGAAGUGGGAGCAGAUUACGAUGGACUUUGUCGUGGGAUUGCCUAGAGCGCAGCUAUACCUGGAUGAGAUCGUCAGGUUGCACGGCGUGUCAAUAUCGAUUGUAUCAGAUCGAGACCCGAGGUUUGUGUCGCAUUUGUGGAGGAGUUUACAAGCAACUUUGGGGACUCAGUUACAUUUCAGCACUACUUUUCACCCACAGACAGAUGGUCAGGUAGAGCGGACCAUUCAGACUCUAGAGGACAUGCUGAGGGCAUGUGUCCUGGAUUUUGGAGGAGGGUGGUAUCGACAUUUGAGACUGGUUGAGUUUGCGUACAACAACAGCUAUCAAACGAGCAUCCAGAUGGCUUCGUUUGAGGCGUUGUGUGGACGCAGAUGUUGAUCCCCUUUGUUUUGGAGCAAUAUGGGUGAGAGGAGGACAUUGGGGCCUGAGAUUUUGCUGGAGGCUGAGGAAAAGGUGAGAGUCGUUCGACGACACCUUUUGACAGCUCAGAGCCGCCAGAGGAGCUAUGCCGAUACCAGGAGACGAGACUUAGAGUUUCAGGUUGGAGAUUAUGUUUUUCUCAAAGUCUCGCCGUCCAGAGGGAUUCGCCGAUUUGGAAUACGUGGAAAGCUCAGUCUACGAUUUGUUGGCCCUUUCGAGGUAUUGGAGCGAGUUGGACCAGUAGCCUACAGGAUUGCUCUACCACCCCGACUUGCUGGGAUUCAUGAUGUGUUCCACGUCUCGGCGUUGAGGAGAUAUGUUUUCGAUCCCUCUCACCUGAUUGACUUCACUCCACUAGAGAUUGGCGAGGAUCUGAGAUACGAGGAGCGACCAUUGCGGAUUCUUGCUCAGGAGACGAAAGAAUUGCGCAAUCGGGUCAUCCCGUAUGUGAAAGUGCAGUAGAGCAAACACGAGGAGCGGGAGGCGACUUGGGAGCCUGAGACGGUGAUGAGAGAGUCCUACCCCGACCUGUUCAUUACUCCGUGUUGAGGUAUGUUUAAGUUUCGAGGACGAAACUUUUUGUAGUGGGGGAGGAUGUAGUAUCCUUAUUUUAUUUAUUAAUUAAUUAAUGUACUUAAUUAUUUUAUGUCGGUUGGUGCAUGCAAAUUAAGGUGGCUUGGAUGCCACGUGCACCCAUGCAUGCUUAUCAACAAAUUAGGUGGGCAUUGCCUAAUUUGUUUACUUCUCUCUUUGUUCGACCGAAGCAAAGAGCUCGGUGGAGGUAGCCGCGAGCACGAGUUCGACGCCGACGACGCGCCGCGAAUCCGUUCGAGGGUACGGUUGGAAUCGUAGCGCUGCGAGGAAGCUAGGCGAGGGUGUGUUUUCGCCGUUCUCGACGCCGCGUCGAUGUCUGAUUAGCCUUUGAGGUGAGUGUUCCGUUGCAUUGCUUCAAGUAUUAUCAUUUCGAGCUUGGUGCUGAUUUGCAGAAUUUCCAGCGUUGACCGUCGGUAUUUCAGUUCGUGCUCGGCGUAGGAGCGUUGGGUUUUGACGGGACUUGGUUCGUUGGAUUCGGGACUUCGAGAGGAAUCCACAAAGCCCUUACUUGCUGGAUUUGGUAAAGGUUUGCUAGGUCGGAAUUUAACUCUUCUCUGUUGCUGUUUUUGGAGGCAGAAUUAAUAUUUAUUGUCGGAUUCUCCGUGUAGAGUUUAGCGGGAGCUUGACUUCGGGCCUUGGGAGGUUUUCAGACGUUUCGGCAGGUUGUUCCGCAGCCGAGGGGAGUUCCGUCUGCCAGGGAUUAGCGAUCGAGGUGGGUUACGUCGGUUUAUUCCUAAGUAUUAUAGUAGUCGACAUGUAUGCUUUCCUAUUUUUGUAAAUAAUGUGGUAGCUCAAUUUCGUCGAUUGUAUAAUGAAUGAAAUUAGCUUGAGGGCAUUACUUGUAACUAUAAAUAUACAUGUUGGACUUAGAAUUAAACUUAGGAGACAACCAGCGUUCGGGACCUGGCAUAUGUUAAACUACCUGAUUUAGCCUUGGGGCCGUUGUAUUAUUUUAUAUUGUUGCAGUAUUCUCAUAGUAAGUAUUCCAGAUAGUUUAGUUUUUAGUUACGCUUGUGCUGGGAUGCCGAGUGUAUUUUUACAGUAGCGUUCAGGCUGUUCCGGACUGUUGGGUGCCGUCGGAGUUGACGGUGUACUCGUAUCGCCUUUUUGGCGUUAGAUUGUGCCGAGGGCACGUUACCUGUUGGUUGUUAGACUAGUUAGAGUCGGUUACUUGACUUAGCCUGUGAGAGCGGUAUGAACAUGACAGAGAUACUUGUAAAUUCGUUGGGUCGCGCCCACGAAUGCUAUUCUGGAAUGAGGUUUCAGUGCGAUGAGUGUCGCAGUUUCUGUUGGAUAGUUCUUGAGCCGGCUACCCUCGGGGUGGUGUACGGCGUAGCUAGAUACAGGCAGGGUGGGUCCGUUUUGGGCAGCACGGGUGAGAUAGUGAGUGACGCUUUUCCCUACCUUUGGUGAGGUUGUGACGUGAGUGGAGUCUUAGCCGUCCUGUUGGACCUUUUCUGGAACCGACUACUCUUGUGAUAUGGUGUAGUCUAAUUAGGCGAGACGGGUGUAUUCACAGUCUUUACAGAGUUUUCUCCGCCGGUUACUCUUGAGAUACGGUGUAGUCUAGUAGACGAGACGGGUGUAUUCACAAUCUCUAGAGAGUCUUCUCCGCCGGUUACUCUCGAGCUAUGGUGUCACCUAAUUAGACGGGAUGGGUGUAUUCACAGUCCCUAGAGAGUUUUCUCCACCAGCUACUCCUGGAGUAGGUUACGGGUUCGAUCCGACAGGCGGGACGGGUGUGUUCACAGUCCCUAGUGAGAUUGAGUUAGUUGUGACUUUUACUACAGUUGGUUAGUGUAGAUCAUGCUAGUGUAGCGAUAUGUAGCGGUAGAUUUCUUUCCAGCUUUUCCUGCUAGCCUUGUUACCUUCUGUAGACUUAGUGGGUGGAUCGAUGAUUGUUGAGGGCGGUACCCACUGAGGACUACUUGUUUCUACAGUAGUUCUCACGCCCAGUUGUUACUCCGUUUUUGCAGAGUCUUCGUCUUCGGCUGCUGCUGUUGUUGGUCAGGAGCUAGGCAAGGGCGUCACGAGUUAGAGCCCUACCCGAGGAGCAGAGCUAGAGGCACCCCUACUGCAGGUAGAUGUUUUGGUUUGGGUUCAUGUACAUACAGACUUUUAACUCGCCAGCGCGAGUAGCUUUGUACUCUGGGAUUCAGUGUAUGUAUAUGGAACUCGGUUUCUUUUACUUUACUAGUUCUUCUAGCAGCUCUAUACUACUGUUUGUAGUAUUGUUGUUUUACAGGUACAGCUGUCGCUUCGUAUACAGGGGAAAUUCCUUUGCAUACGGCGGAUUUGUCGGCGUGCCCGGGGAACGUGUAAUCCGUGGCGUGACACUUCUAGUUCUUCGAUUGCUGUCGGGGAUACCGAGGAGGUUUCUUAGCAUUUGGCCGGCCCCCGGUGCUACCCGCUGCCUGCUUCUUUCCCUUGUCCCUUGCCUCUGCUGCGGACUCGCACUCCUCACGUUUGUGGGCAUAGCCAUGCUCCGCCCAUAAGACUCGAUCAAAGACCUCAGCAAAGGUCGUGAGCUUAAGGAUUUGCAUGGCCCUAUAGAUUCCCGGCCGAAGUCCUCGCAAGAACCAAUCGGCCCGGUCCCGGUCAUCACGAACAACCUCCGGGACGCAAUCGAUGAGGUGGGAGAACUCCUGUUCGCAGUCUGCUACCGAGCGAUCUCCCUGCCUCAACUUGCGGAAUUUUUCUUGCAAUUAACUUCCGCUUCACCGUGUCGAGGAAAUAAUUGGCGAACGCCGCCCUCCUGAACUCCCCCCACAACAUAGGCGGAAGAUUGGGAGAUCGAUCCCGCCUAACACACUUCCACUACACCUUCGCCGCCUUCUCAAGGCAAUGCGUGGCGAGGUACACCUUGUCCUUCUCCGAGGUAUGCAGGUCCUCGAAGAGCGUCUCUAUGGAGUCGAUCCAUGACUCCACAACCGCCGGUUCCACCACUCCCCCUUCGAAGAUAGGUGGGUUGAACUUGUUGAACUGUACGAGAGCCGCUAACGCACGCUCCCGUUCCGCCUCCUCCGCCGCACUAUCGGGGUUUGAAGCUCCCGAACCAGCCAACACCACUGUAAUAGGCACGGCUGCCGCCGCCACGCCCUCAGCCGCACUCGGCACCACUGCAGGGGGUAUAGGGUGCACGGCCUCCACGGGCGCUGCCGCUUGGCACUGAACGGACUCCGCUUGCUGCCGCACUACGCCAAUAAGCGAGGCCAUUUGCUCCCGAAGCUCCCCGUCGCUACCUGCUCCGGGUUGCACAGGAGCCGCACUCGAUUCCUCGGCCAUAGACCUCGUUCGCGGUCGACCACGAGGCAACUUAGGUUGUCCACGAGGAGGCAUUGCUUCUUGAAAUGAAGCAAUUCACAUUAGUCUCUUAGGAAACAUACUCGAUUAUACCCAAUCAGGCGAAAGCAUACAAGUGCAUUUAUUUUCAUUCCCAAGCAUCAUGUCGUUGGCCGCCGAUCACAACACAAGGAAAAGAAAACAAAUAUCAACUUAAAUUUAGUCCCUAACCAUAUUAGAGACAUAUUAACAUUAACCCAAUCAUAAGCUUUCGCUAUACUUUGUUCAACGUCACUCACGUUUCCUAGGUCCUUAAGGUCUUUCCAAUCCUAAAACUCUCUAGGUCCAUCUUAUACUUUCACUUUUUGGCUUUUACGCUCUGAUACCAUUUUAUCUGUCAUGCCCCGAACCUGGUCCUAUUUGGUAGAUUCGGACCCGUCAAACAGAUGCCGAACGGACAGAGUCUCCCCUGUCUGCCCAAGGCUCAACAUCCUGUACAAAUAGAGUAUGAAUUUUGCACAAAAUGGAAGCAUACACAAUGGCUUGCACGAGGGCAAGCAAUAGCCAAUAGUGAAAGUAAUAAACUACACUUAGGAAAUUAUUUACAUUUUUGCAUCAUUUCUUCUCUUUUACAUCACAUGAUCUCAAAAUAUAAGUUCUUGUAUUUAAAUAUAAAAUCUUUAACAACAUUCAUGUUUUUUUUCCUUUAACAUCUAUAGUCAUCAAAAUAUAAAAGAUGAUGUACAAGGGUAUGCAACUAAACCAAAAUAGUAAACCCACUCGGGAGGUCUCUAUCUAGGGCACGAUGCCCUUACCGCGGUCGUCCGUCAGCUCGCUCGGUCCCGGCUCUGUGAAAAUAGUGGGGUGAGAACUACAACAAAGUUCCUAGUGGGUUCGGCAACUGACCACGCCGACUUUCCCACUAGGUCUAAAUCAGGUAUAAUAGAAGAAUAGAUUAAUAGUAACCAAGCUAAAACAAAUGCAACUAAUAUAUCUGAACAAUAAAUAAUGCUAUGCUCAACAAAGUACUCAUGAUGAAUGCAAGGUCACUGCUCAGAACCCAAUCUCUAGGCUAUCCCGUAGGUUUCGCCCACAAUAGACUCACAAACUCAAAUUUCAAAAAUCGGAGAGACUACUACGCCUGAUGGGACCGUCCUCUGGGGAGGCUACUACGACCCAGUGAUGACAACUCCAGAGCACAUCGCCCGAGGGGGAGCUACUACCCUCGAACAAGGACUUACAGGUGAGUAUGAUCCAAUUCUUAACUAUAAGGAUGUCGAGUUCAAUCCAUUCCUUAACUAUAAGGAAGCCAUGCACUAGGACCCUUAACUCUAAGGUUGAAAUUGUCAUAAUGUCACUAUCACACUUUUACUUGUAUUCUUUACUUUCACUAGUGUCAUAUACACUACUAUGUUCUUGUACACAUGCCACACUUGUUUUAUAAGUGUUCCACUCUAGCAUUCUUGACUCGUCAAUGCCAUUCUCUACCUCUAUGUCAAUAAGUCACAUUUGUUUUCUAGUUCACUAAAGUUCUUGUCACUUGUCAUGCAUAAAUAGGGUUUAUAAAAUUCUCACAUUCUUGCUAGUAACUCACAUGCAUUUGUACUCACAACAUGCCAUAAGAAGCUCACAAUUACCCUACUAUGCAAUAUACUCAAAUACAUACAUAUGCUCAAAUAUGAUACUUUAGACAUAAAAGGAAUUCCGAGGUAUUCGGAAUGCACGACCCACCUUAGAUGGUUGUAGGAAUGCUACAAUGAAUUUCUUAGAAUUUUUGAAGCCCUACUUUAUCGCCUGCGGCAAAACGAAGCCAAAUUAGGUUUUUUCUCAAUAACUUUAUCUAGACCUUUUCAUAACGUCAAACGGAGUUAUCCCACACGUCGGGAAUACCCCCAAUUAGGUUUCUACAAGGUCAUUUAGAACCAUCUAAUUAUUCCUAGGGCAUAAUAAGUAAACCCUAGGAAAUCACCAUUAGAGCACAUGAAGAAAACUAGGAUUUUCAUGUGUUCUAAGCCAUUACUAGGUUUCUAUACAUGAGAGAAGGUCAAAACCUAGUUUUUUAGGGCAUAAAACUAAACCCUAUACCUAUUGUCACAAAACACCUCACCUUGGCCCAAAGCUCUCCAAGGUCCUUCUUGUUGGAGAGAUCCCAAACCCUCAAAGCCUCCAAAUCCACCUUCAAAAGCCUUCUCCACUCCUUCUCCUUGCUCUUUAGGGAGAGUUCUAGAGAGAGAAAGAGAGAAAUGAGAGGGAAGAUGUGUGUUCGCUGUGUGAGAGGGAGAGAGGAGUGUUGGGGAUAUAUAUAAGGUGCUACAAUUACCAAAAAUCCCUCUACUUAUUAAUAUUUGCAGCUGUUUCCAACCUGCUGUCGACCCAAAGUGUACCGGUACACUUUAGGGUGUCACCGGUAACACAAUCACGUAUGGCCAAACCCGGGUUUGGGGCAUUUGUACCGGUACACCUUCAUUUUGUACCCAUACACUUAUCUGUACCGGUGACAACUCUGUUAAGUAUUGUGUAUUGGCAAGUUUUGUGAAGUGAGUCGGAGUCUUGAAGAACCGGUGCGUAUCGUUGAAGAUCGAAAAAUUCAAGAUUUCGAAGAAGUCAGAAAAUAUCUCAUGACGUGAAUCACGAUGCUCAGGUAAAGUAUAAAUUCAUGUUAUGGUGAUUCAUACUUAGUUGUAGACAUUAGAAUCAUGUUAUCAAUGUCUAAUGGAUAAGAAAGUGCAUCGAUUCUAAAGUCUAUAAAUAAGCUAUUGGGCUUCUCUAACAGAUUAAGCAUCACGAAAAUACAUAUUUGAGAAACCCUAGAGGCUAGGAUUUGAUCAAAAAACCUAUUUUCUACAAAAAGCCUCUUUUAGAUCAAAUCGUGAUAUUGAAAUUUGAUAUUAAUAUGUCGAUUUGAUCUCCGCUUCGCUUGGAGUUCUAUUCCCUAGUUUUCUACGAUACUCCAAAGCGAAGGAUCACCAUAUUCAUGAUAUUCUUCAUGGUGGCGUCGUGGAUUCGGCGUAUUUGACGGCGGUUCGUGGAUUCGGAUCGUGGGCUCGUGGAUUCGAGUGGCGUCGUGGAUUCGGCGUGAUUGAAGCUUCGUGGAUUCGAAGUGGAGGCGUUUGUGGAUUCGGACGUGAGGGCGUGGACAACCCGGAGGGUAGCACGAAGAUUCAUAGGAGGUUAAGAGAGGUUAAGUCCGUGGAGUCGGUAAUCACCUUGUAAUCUUUUCUCUUAGUGAAUUGUUUUUUCAUGUGUUGGUCCCGUGGGUUUUUCUCCAAAUUGGAGUUUUCCCACGUAAAUCUCGGUGUGUUUUUUAUUUUCCGCAUUUAUUUUUAUUGCAUCGAGAUUUGUGGUUUUUGGCCGUUACGCCUAUUCACCCCCCUCUAGGUGAUAGAUACAAUCUAGAUAGAUCCUCGGGUUCCUCGAAACUUUCAAUUGGUAUCAGAGCGGGAUCUAGAUAAAUUGUUAUCUAAUGGCAGAAGGUGGUAACAUUAAUCGACCUCCGCUUUUCGACGACACGAAUUAUGCCUAUUGGAAAGUUCGCAUGAGAGCUUUUCUAAUUGCUAUCGAUGAGCGGGUUUGGCAAUCAAUUGAAUUUGGGUGAAAACAUCCGAUAGAAAAGGUCGAUAAUGUUGAAAAGCCAAAACCACGGAAGAAAUGGACGAAGGAAGAAAACGAGACAUCUUCGUUUAACGGCAAGGGCAUAAACGCUUUAUUUAAUGCUGUCACGCCCCGGGACCCAGCGGAAGCCCGCCCGGCGCGUGCCCAGACCCGCCAUAUGUCUACAACAUAUAAGGCGUCUAAAAACAACAAUAAUGAAAGCAAUAAUAAAAGACAUCUAGGAGUAUCAGAGCAUAGUAAAUGUCUAAUUGCUACAACAGGAGAUAUGGAUAAAACUGUAAAUCCGCUAAAUAAAACAUAAAGCGAGUACAAUGGGAAUCCCAAAUACAAGUGUUAUAGGUAGGUACAUAGGUGGUCUCUAUACAUGGAUACAAAAAUCUCACACUCUCCCAAAAUACAAAAGAAAGAGCAAACCACCUAAGUAAGAACCGCUCCUCGCUAGCUAGCUAAGCGAUCCCCUUGCCGCGAUCCCGCGCCUCCGCCGGUGCCGAAGGCUCUGAAAGGAAAACCAGAAAACAGGGGCGUGAGAACUAUUAAAAAUAGUUCCCAGUGGGCAAUUACUGACUUUAGUGAACUGCGCCACGAGGCCCAAAAGCUACAAGAAGAGGUCAGUGACUAUAACUGUAGGAAAAUGAAAGGCAAGUAAAAAGUAACUUACUACAACAUGAUAUCUCUACUUAGCAUAAAUAGCAUAAGUAUGAAACCACUAUGCAUGAAGUAAAAGUCCCAACUAUCAUAAUGUUCCCAAUGCGAAAUAGUAAAGUUCCGUUGUUUACUAUUCUAGUCAAUGUCCAAAUAAUACUCUAAGUCACCAUCUGUCCACAUGUCAUGAUGACUCCGCAAGUCAAAUCUGAAGAGACCCACCCGAAGGCUGUCUAUGGCCCUGAGACCCACCCGUAGGCUGUCUGGCCGGUGCCGAGCCUAAUGGCCCCGUGGUAGUCAACACCCCCACCCUAGGAGUGAGCCUGGCCCACGGCAAUCCACUUCGGCGCCCAAUCCCGCACGGCGAAUAUGUAUCGCGAUGGCCAUCUCCGGAGUGCCGGCUUGUAGGGAGCGACCCUCACAAGCAUGUGCGAAUGAGCACAAUGGCAAGUAGUCAAACGAUCNNNNNNNNNNNNNNNNNNNNNNNNNNNNNNNNNNNNNNNNNNNNNNNNNNNNNNNNNNNNNNNNNNNNNNNNNNNNNNNNNNNNNNNNNNNNNNNNNNNNNNNNNNNNNNNNNNNNNNNNNNNNNNNNNNNNNNNNNNNNNNNNNNNNNNNNNNNNNNNNNNNNNNNNNNNNNNNNNNNNNNNNNNNNNNNNNNNNNNNNNNNNNNNNNNNNNNNNNNNNNNNNNNNNNNNNNNNNNNNNNNNNNNNNNNNNNNNNNNNNNNNNNNNNNNNNNNNNNNNNNNNNNNNNNNNNNNNNNNNNNNNNNNNNNNNNNNNNNNNNNNNNNNNNNNNNNNNNNNNNNNNNNNNNNNNNNNNNNNNNNNNNNNNNNNNNNNNNNNNNNNNNNNNNNNNNNNNNNNNNNNNNNNNNNNNNNNNNNNNNNNNNNNNNNNNNNNNNNNNNNNNNNNNNNNNNNNNNNNNNNNNNNNNNNNNNNNNNNNNNNNNNNNNNNNNNNNNNNNNNNNNNNNNNNNNNNNNNNNNNNNNNNNNNNNNNNNNNNNNNNNNNNNNNNNNNNNNNNNNNNNNNNNNNNNNNNNNNNNNNNNNNNNNNNNNNNNNNNNNNNNNNNNNNNNNNNNNNNNNNNNNNNNNNNNNNNNNNNNNNNNNNNNNNNNNNNNNNNNNNNNNNNNNNNNNNNNNNNNNNNNNNNNNNNNNNNNNNNNNNNNNNNNNNNNNNNNNNNNNNNNNNNNNNNNNNNNNNNNNNNNNNNNNNNNNNNNNNNNNNNNNNNNNNNNNNNNNNNNNNNNNNNNNNNNNNNNNNNNNNNNNNNNNNNNNNNNNNNNNNNNNNNNNNNNNNNNNNNNNNNNNNNNNNNNNNNNNNNNNNNNNNNNNNNNNNNNNNNNNNNNNNNNNNNNNNNNNNNNNNNNNNNNNNNNNNNNNNNNNNNNNNNNNNNNNNNNNNNNNNNNNNNNNNNNNNNNNNNNNNNNNNNNNNNNNNNNNNNNNNNNNNNNNNNNNNNNNNNNNNNNNNNNNNNNNNNNNNNNNNNNNNNNNNNNNNNNNNNNNNNNNNNNNNNNNNNNNNNNNNNNNNNNNNNNNNNNNNNNNNNNNNNNNNNNNNNNNNNNNNNNNNNNNNNNNNNNNNNNNNNNNNNNNNNNNNNNNNNNNNNNNNNNNNNNNNNNNNNNNNNNNNNNNNNNNNNNNNNNNNNNNNNNNNNNNNNNNNNNNNNNNNNNNNNNNNNNNNNNNNNNNNNNNNNNNNNNNNNNNNNNNNNNNNNNNNNNNNNNNNNNNNNNNNNNNNNNNNNNNNNNNNNNNNNNNNNNNNNNNNNNNNNNNNNNNNNNNNNNNNNNNNNNNNNNNNNNNNNNNNNNNNNNNNNNNNNNNNNNNNNNNNNNNNNNNNNNNNNNNNNNNNNNNNNNNNNNNNNNNNNNNNNNNNNNNNNNNNNNNNNNNNNNNNNNNNNNNNNNNNNNNNNNNNNNNNNNNNNNNNNNNNNNNNNNNNNNNNNNNNNNNNNNNNNNNNNNNNNNNNNNNNNNNNNNNNNNNNNNNNNNNNNNNNNNNNNNNNNNNNNNNNNNNNNNNNNNNNNNNNNNNNNNNNNNNNNNNNNNNNNNNNNNNNNNNNNNNNNNNNNNNNNNNNNNNNNNNNNNNNNNNNNNNNNNNNNNNNNNNNNNNNNNNNNNNNNNNNNNNNNNNNNNNNNNNNNNNNNNNNNNNNNNNNNNNNNNNNNNNNNNNNNNNNNNNNNNNNNNNNNNNNNNNNNNNNNNNNNNNNNNNNNNNNNNNNNNNNNNNNNNNNNNNNNNNNNNNNNNNNNNNNNNNNNNNNNNNNNNNNNNNNNNNNNNNNNNNNNNNNNNNNNNNNNNAAUGGCGAAAGUGAGGAGGAAUCAAACGACGACGACAUAGCGGAAGCGUACAAUCAACUUCUCAUUGAAUCAAAGAAGAUGGCUAAACUCAACAAGAAGUUGAGACGUCGUUUGUUGGAACUUGAGGAGGAAAACAACAACGUAAAGAAUUUGAAUAAGGUUCUUGAGGAGGAAAGGGAUUCAAACUUGAAGAUUAAUUCGGACCUCCAAGAAAAGUUUAAUGAAGCGGAAUCAACGAUCAAAUCUUAUAAAGACAAGGUUGGAUUUUUGGAGCAUCAAUUUCAUGAAUCGCACAAGUUCAAUCAAGUCUUGACCGAACAAGUUCGUCAACUCCAAUCAGAUCUUCAACAAUUUUCUUCGGGAUCAAAGAAGUUGGACAAAAUGCUUGGAUUGGGUCAAACGAACAAAUUGGGCCUCGGAUAUGAACGCACAUACGUUGAGAAGGAUUCAAUAUCAACUUCUAAAGUCUCAACAAAUUCGAAAGACAAGGUGUGUCAUAAAUGUGGUAAGAAAGGACACAUUAAAAGGAAUUGCCCAAAGAAGGAAAAGAAGAAUCAAUCGGCAAUGUCUAAACCUCAAACGGCAUCAUCUACAACUCGACUUCCCCUGCGGAAUCAAAAGAAGAAUCAAGUUAGUCGAGUACCUCAAAAGAAUCGGAUUUCUAAUGCACAACGCCAAGUUCAUGCAAACCAGGUGCAUAAAUCUCAACGACAAAUUCAACCUAAGCCUCAACCGAAGAAAACACCAACGGUUGUUCAAAAGUCUAAACAAACGGCACCUAACGUCGACAAGUCGAGAAAACCAACGAUCCGACAAGUUUGGAUCCGGAAAGGUGAUAUCUUUCCUUGCUCCUCGUCUUAGUCAUUUUUGUUCUUUAGUGUAAUGCUUUGAUUGGUGCUUGUUGUUUAAUUUUAUUCAUUACAUUACAUGUUUGAAUGAUUUUUGGUGCAUUGAAUUUUUGUUUAUUUAAAAAUCAUUUUGAGGAAAAGGUGUUUAGGAAUUUCAAAAUCUUUGAGAAAGGAGAUGAUUGAGAAUUUUUUUUGGAGAGGAAGUUUUUAAAGAUUGUUUAAACAGGUUUUAUCUUCACAAUCAUAUUAAGUUAAAUUCAUAUUAAUUAUCGUNNNNNNNNNNNNNNNNNNNNNNNNNGUUUUGUAAGGUUUUCCUCUAGGGUUUGGAUUUUGGUUAAGAGAUUUGGAGCUUUGUGCUCCUUAGAGGUUUUAGAAGCUCUUUUGAGCCAUGAACAACAAGGUACCCAUGAGAGCUCAAGGUGCUCUCAUGGUGAACCCUUGGAAGUUGGGUUAGAAGCCCUAGGGUUGGUUCCAAAAGCUUGGAAACCUUAUUAGAAUGCUUCCUAAGUGAAUCUAAGUUACCAUUUGCUUAGGGUUGAGAUCAAUUCAAGGGGAAACCCUAAAUGACAAUGUUAGGGCUUGGAUUUGGGGCUUUUGCCCUAGGAUUUUUUGGGGACAAAUUGACCCCGUAGAAACCUAAUUGGGGGUGCCCUAAACACGUUGGACAACUCCGUUUAAUAUUACGAAAAUGUUAGAACAAAGUUCAUGUACAAAAAGGCCUAAUAUAGCAUUAUUUUGAUUAUAGGGCGCGGGAUCGGAUUUCAUAAAGUGCGGGAGCUUCCGUAACCUACACCCACACAACUAAUAGAGGGGGGGUGCACGCCGGAAUCGUUGGAUUCCCUUCUAUGUCUGUUUUCUCUAUUCGUGAGCAUAUAUAUAUAUAUAUACACCCAUUCAUGCAUAGUAGGGUAGCUACAUGUGGAACUUGGUUUGACUUCAUUUAUAUGCUUCUAACGUAGUUGAACAUAGAGAAUGAUAGAACCAAAAUGGACAUGUGUGUUUGGACCCUCAAGUUGUGUGAAUGUGAGAAUGGACUUGGACAUUAGAAAACAUGGGUGUCAUUGACAUAGAAACAAGAAUUGCAUUGUGAGAUGAACCGUUGAAUAUAGUUUAACCCAUAUUGACAUUGUCGAAGAUAAAGCCUUGAGAGUGGCAAGAAUGAAUAGGUAGGGACCCAUCGUGAUAUUGGCAUUGUGACUAGUGGCUAUGAGUCCUUAAGUUGAGGAUUAGAUCGAUACUCACAUUUCGUCUUGGCUUGAGGGAGAUCGCUCCCCCUCGAGCGGUGCGCUCCGGAGUUGGUCACCACUGGGUGUGGUAAAGUCCCACCAGUUGACGGUCCCUAGGGAGGUUCGAGUCCCCCGUUAUUAAGGGAUUUUGGGUUGUGAGUUAGUGGGGUUAACAGAGUUAACCGGUAAGAUUGGGUAAGAGCCAAAGCUUGAUUAUGAUUGAAGCAUGCAUGCAUUUCCAUUACCGCAUUGAAAUUGUAUAUCUACUGACUUCUUUCUUGCAGGCAUAGUAUUAGUUGCAUUAGUAAUGGUUUUUUCUUCCUUUGAAAUAGUUAUGCCUGGAUGGACCUAGUGGGUAAGUCGGCGAGGUCGGAUGCCGAGCCCACUGGGAACAUCGUUGUAGUUCUCACACCUCUAACCCUACAGGUCCUAGUACGAGCGGGGCGGCGGAGGACCGAGGCAAGGGUUUGGCGCCGUAGGUAGCGGCCACCGGGACUUUAUGCAUUUUGUAGUCAUUCCCUUUUGUUAUACAUGUAUCAACUUUAUUCUGUUGAUUUAGGUAUGAAAAGUGUAAAUAAUCAUGUAUUUUGAGGAUGACUAAAUGUAAAAGAUAUGAUGGUUGAAUGGAAUGUAGUAGCCUUGUUUACUUGAAUUUGGUUUAAAUGGAAUCAAAUAUCAUGUGUGAUGUAUAUUUAGCUUAGAGCUUUCGCUUCCGUUGUUGCUUGCCCUCGAGCAAGCCUUGUAUUAUAUAUGCAAUUCUCUCGUUUAUUGCCACUUUAUACCUAUUGUUAGAGCCUUGGGCGGACAGGGGAGGCUCUGUCCGUUCGGCGUCUGUUGACGUGACCCGAACCCGACCAAAUUGGCGUGGAUUGGGGCGUGACACUGAGGGAGAGAGGGACUAAUAAGUCCUCUAAUGUAACAAUAUCCAGCUGGCCCCCUCAACUUUUUAUUCUCUGCACAGCCCUCACUGGGCAUUUUGCGCGCGGAGGGACUGGUCUCCCCGAUUUGAGAUCGGUCCCCGAGAGCUUCAGCUCGGGUCACGCGUUCGGGUACCGGUCUCUCCCAGAGAGACCGGUCCUUGGGAGACCGGUUCCUUCCUGAGAGACCGGUUCCCGAGAGUGGGAUUUUAAGGACUUAGCCAAAUUUUUGGCUUUCUCGCUGGGUUCGCAUUCGGGGACCGGUCCCUCCCUGCCAGGGACCGGUUGCCUCAAGCAACCCCGCAACACCCGCUGAUGGGACCGGUCCCUCCCUGCCAGGGAUCGGUUCCCGAGAGUAGUUUUGCUCCAGUGCAGGUUUUGCACCAUUUGCUCUCGUGGACUCGUUUUCAAUGCACUUUUGGUGAUUAUAAUAUCUUUGGCUUUUCCAAAGCUCACCAACACGACCCUUGGUCGUUCUGGAUGAAGUCUAACUCUCGUAUUUCGAGAAUUCACUUCCUCACACUAUCAGACCUCAAAACUCUUUUGUAAAUCCUUUUAUCGAAAAACAGCGAAAAAUGUAUAUUUUUUAAACCAAAGUUAAAGAUGACCCUAUAAGGGUGCGUUUGGUUCGCACUAUGAAAGAUUACUAGUAAUAAAAAGAUGUCCAAGAAUCUUAUUCCUAUUCAUCCUACUACGAAGAAUGUAGCAUUCCUGUGUUUGGUUCGCACUGUUAUAUUAUUUAGUCAUGUUAUUUAAGUUUACAAAAAAUAUACAAUUAAUUUAUUUAUUUCUUCAAUUAAUUUUAUUUUAGAUAAUGCCACCAAAAAUUUCAACAUCUUUUUUAAAAAAAGGGAGAGAGAGAAAAUAGGUUAGAGAGAGAGCAUAAUUAAAUAAAUAGGAAGAGAAAUAGAGUCGAGAUUAGAGGGAGUGCGAGAGUUGAGAUUUUAGAAAAAUAGGGGGAGAGAGUGCUUAGUUUAGAAAGAGAAAAAGAGUUGAAGUUUAGAAAGAAAAAAAUAAGUUUAGAGAGAGAUAUGAGGUUAGAGUGUAAAGAAAAAUAAUACCAACUAGCCGGCGGGUAGGGAGAAAGAAAGAGAUUAGACAUAUUAUGAUUACCCUAAUCCAUUAAUAUGAGGAUACCCACUCUCCCUCAAGGGAAUGAAAUUAGUACUUUAGAAUGAAUCUCAUUCCCAAAUAAAUCUAAUAUUACCAACUAGAUUACUUAGUGUGUUUAGUCAAACACCAUCAUAUUUUUUUAUUCAUAUUGGAUUAGUAGGAAUCUUAAAAAGAUAACGCGAACCAAACGCGCCAUAAACGUGCACAGACUCGCCAUAUGGAUAGUUUUUUCUGUACAAACCGAUAGUCUUUCCUGUACAUGCAUGAUGUAAAAAGCACAACCUCCACCAAUAUAACCAACCACAAUAAGAAUGACAAUAACAACAAGGAUGAAUACAAUAACAACUAUAAUAUCAGAAGAAAACUAAAUACUAAUAACAGAAGAACACUAAAGAAAUAGGUAACAGGAACACAAGGCUUCUGCCGUUUUGAACAGGUUGCUCCAAAAGUCUUUGGUAUCAACAACGUAUGUAGGAUAAGAUGCAAGAUUAGAUGUAGCAACAAGUUUGAAAUUGUACUUUCCUAUUUUUGGUCGAUCAGCUUUUUAACCUUUGCAAUUGGAAAAGUCACAGAAUACGAGAAUCAACAUUUUGAUGUUCUAACACUUGCUUCAAUCUAUCAGGUUAAAAUCUGCACCUCUUCUCUUUCACAAAUAAUUUUUAUAAAAUUAUAAAUCAGUUUCAUUAUAUAUAUUUUUUUAUUUGAAAAUGCUAAUUGUUAUGAUCUGAGUUAAUUCUGACGAUUUGCCAUAAUUUUAUAGGUGCAAGUAACAUGAUUGUUUAUAGUUGAACUUGCACCAUAGGAAAAACUAUCUAACCUAAAGUCCUUGUCCUAAGUCCUUUAUACGCUACGUGACUCUGGAUUUAAUAGAAAAUGUUGGUGUAAAUAUUCAAAAAAUAGAGGUUAGCUACAAAAUAAUUUAAAAAAUAUCAACGAGUCGAUCAAGCCGAGGCACGGAUAUCUCGCUCUCUUUAAGGAGAUUCAAGCCCUCUGCGGUUGGCAAAGCCUUUGAACCGAUGCAGCAGAGCACCGACUUGUCCCCUCCAGGAUACAACGGCUCGACCCUCGUCGUGUGGCUUCACCAACUCUGCACAAGUAGAUGAGCCCAAAGCUCCACCAAAAGAACACCUUUCUUUGACCUUCUCUCUCUCACAAGUAUAAUAGAAAUAGCUUUAGUAGUAUAUUGAGUUGUGUAUAAAAAUAGAAAAAAAAAGCACUCUAUAUAUAGGCUCUAAAAGGUAUAGGAGUUACGAGAAAAUAAAAAGCCAUAGGUUACAUAGCAUUUAAUAGAGUUCAUUAUACAUACGUUGCAAUCCUAACGAAAGCAUAGAUUAAGUGUUUAGCAGUAUACAACACUAAAUGUGAUAAAGUAAACUGCAUUCCUCAAGUGGUAACUGCAAGAGCAUAAGUUAUCAAAAGGAUAUUCAAAUCAUAUAAAUAAUAAAAAUGUAACAACAGAAAAUAAUAAUAAUAAUAAUAACUAUUUCUGAACUAACCCCACUUUUUUUUGGGUAAAAAAACAAAAUCCCAAAUCAAAUUGAGUUGAAACAAUUGAACUGCAAAUAGAUUCCAUUGUCCUGUGAUUUUGAUUACCAAAUAACAGUUUAGGUGAAACGAUUUAUUGUGUACUACAAUGGAUAGUGCAUUAUCCUACCCACCAACAUCUGCGGGCAGUAGUAAUCAGCAGAGAGAAGUAUAAAUGUGUAAGACAGCAGAGCAACAAAAUCUUUGCAGGCUAAGCAGCAUGCCUGCUCCUGGGCACCAGACGAGCCCUGAGGGGAUUCUUCAUAACGAUGGUGAAUUCGGGCUUCUCUGCCAAGUCGACUUCCUCCCCCUCCGCUGCCGGCAGCCACUCGAACUCCCUGACAAGAUGCGCCACGAAGCACUCGAGGUGCAGCAGGGCGAGACCGAGUCCUGGGCACAUCCUCCUCCCCGCCCCAAACGGCAUCAUCUUGAUCACCCCCUUGCAGACCCCUGCGGCAUCUACCCCCUCGCCGUCACCUCCCUCCAUGAACCGCUCCGGCCGGAACUCCAUCGGCGCCUCCCACACCCUCCCAUCCCGCCCCAUCUCCGCCACCAGGAAGUUCACUGCCGCCUCCUUCGGAAUUCGGUACCCUGUGAUCUCCGUCUCCUCCGUCACUGCAUGCGGCAGCACGAAGUGCCCCGGCGGGUGCCGCCGCAGCCCUUCGAGCACCACCGCCUUCAGGUACGGCAUCUUUUGCAAGUCCUCUUCUCUUAUGGCAUCCUCCUCCUCCGCAUUCCCCGCCGCCACGCGGUCGAUCUCCUCCGCAAGUUUCCUCUGCACGUCCUGGUGCUUCACCAGGUUGGCCAUGAUCCACUGCAGCGCCGUCGACGUCGUGUCCGUGCCGGCGUUCAGGAACUCCGAGCACAGCGCCACCAUCUCCUCCUCGCUCAGCUUUCUCCCACCUUCCUCCGGGAUCUCCAUGUCCAGCAGGGAGUCGACGUACGAGUACACGAAUCGCUCCUCGUCUUCUUGAACCUGGUCGCCGUUCUGCCGCCGCCGCUGCUGCUGCUGCUUUUUCCUCUUGAAUUCUUCCCGGGCACGGAUCAACGGGACGAACAGCUCGCGCUGUCUCGCCCUCAACGCUGUUGCGGUCUUCAACCUGUUUCGGAAGAUGUGCUUGGUAAUCUGCGGAAGGAUGCCGAGGACGUUGAGGUUGCUGACGACGUAGAGGAGGAAGCUGCGCUGGGCGAUCUCGAUCUGCUUUAUCGACUCGUGAUCUAAUUUUUCGCCGAAGCACAUCAGCACCAGCAGAGCGAACAUGGCGAACUGGAAGCUGGGCAUGACGGCGACGGGGCCGCCGUCGGAGGAACGGGACUGCGAGCGGAGGUCGUCGGCGAGGAGACGGAGGACCCAGCGGCGGCCGGGGGCGUAGAGCCUGAGGCGGGAGGGGUGGAGGAUCUCGGCGACGAGGUUGCGGCGGAGGAGGCGNUUUCGUGGGUCGAGUCGGAGUCGUGAAGAAGUUCGGAGCGAAGUAUUGAAGAUCGAAGAAUCCAAGACUUCGAAGAAUCGGAAAGGACGCAAAACAUGCAAAACUUGAAUCACGAUGCGUAGGUAAGUUUUAAAUCUUGUUUAUGGUGAUUCAUACUUAUUUAUAGAUCUUAGAAUCAUAUUUUCAAGUUGUAAUUGAUUAGAAAGUUUCUAAGAGUUUGUAAAACCCGAAACAAUGCAUUUUCAGCGAAAAUUGCAUUGCUGUACCGGUACAAGGAUUUUCUGUCCAGGGUACAGCCAUCAACGUUCCGCAGAAAGUUUGAUGGUUGUUCCGGUACAAGCUUCAUGCUGUACCGGUACAAGCCCUGUUCCGGAACAAGCUAAAGCUAUCCAGGGUACAGGAGCUUCGCAGAAAAAUCUUCCGUAAUGGUGUACCCUGGACAACAUUCCUUGUUCCGGUAUAAGGUGCUGAUUUUAGAAAGAAACUUUCUAAUCCUACUCUGUUUUGAUUCUAAAGUCUAUAAAUAAGCUAUAGGGGUUCUCUAACGAAUUAAGCAUCAUAAGAAUACAUAUUUGAGAAACCCUAGAGGCUCGGAUUUCAUCAAAAACCUAUUUUCUACAAAAAGCCUCUUUUAGAUCAAAUCGAGAUAUUGAAAUUUGAUAUUAAUAUGUCGAUUUGAUCUCCGCUUCGCUUGGAGUUCUAUUCCCUGGUUUUCUACGAUACUCCAAAGCGAAGGAUCACCAUAUUCAUGAUAUUCUUCAUGGUGGCGUCGUGGAUUCGGCGUAUUUGACGGCGGUUCGUGGAUUCGGAACAUGGGCUCGUGGAUUCGAGUGGCGUCGUGGAUUCGGCGUGAUUGAAGCUUCGUGGAUUCGAAGUGGAGGCGUUUGUGGAUUCGGACGUGAGGGCGUGGACAACCCGGAGGGUAGCGCGAAGAUUCAUAGGAGGUUAAGAGAGGUUAAGUCCGUGGAGUCGGUAAUCACCUUGUAAUAUUUUUUCUUAGUGAAUUAUUUUUUCGCAUGUUGGUCCCGUGGGUUUUUCUCCAAAUUGGAGUUUUCUCACGUAAAUCUCGAUGUGUUUUUUAUUUUCCGCAUUUAUUUUUAUUGCAUCGAGAUUUGUGGUUUUUGGCCGUUACACCUAUUCACCCCCCUCUAGGUGAUAGAUACAAUCUAGAUAGAUUCUUGGGUUCCUCGAAACUUUCAAACUUGAUGGUUGUACCGGUACACAUUGCCCAGACUUGGUUUUUGGCUCCGUUUCGAUUCUAUUUCGCGCCGAUCGAUACCAAAACUCUUCUAACACUUCCAGAACUCAUUUUUAAUCCUUCCAAUCUUGUUGGAAUGCUAAAUGGAACUUGCCCAACUAUUUCUUUCGCAUUUUUUACUUUUAAAUCGCGCCGAGUGAUGCUAAAACUUGUAACGUUGUUGGAAUGUUAACUGAACUUUGUUCAUCCAUUUCUCUCGUCACUUUAACCAAUUUGGCUAAAGUUCGAUAAUCGCUAUCGAGGUUUCGAUACGUUACAAUAUUGUUUUAACAACAGAUCUUUUUGUAUUGAACUAGAUGAAAAAUGCAGGACUCCUUACUCUAGUUAAAUUACACCACUUAGUUAGCACCAAAAACAAUGUAAUAAUAUAGGAGAUGAGAGUAAUAGGAAGAACUAGAAAUGCUAAACAAAUUGAUAUAUCCUUCUACUUCCAAGUAAAGGCAUGCAAAUAUAAUGCUAAAACAUGCUACCAUAUUCCAUAGUUCCAAUCUUCAUGUAAUGCACAGAACAGAUUAUAACAAAUGCACACUUCUAAAGAAAAUUAAUUAUCACAAUCAAUUAAUCUAGCCUAAAACAUGCCAAUUUUAGCAUUCCUAAAUUAAGCGGAAAAAGCUUCUCGAACAGGGCAUUAGAUCUAAACAAUUUUCUCGCACAAGAUCCUACCUUUCUCCCAAAUCUUAUCACAUCUGGAAUAGGCUUAGUGGUAUAUUCUUAACCCUAGACUUGUGAAGGAGGAAUUUAUCAAGUUGGGUAUACGCCCUGGGAGGUAAGCACUGUCAAGCAUAAGCAAAAACGAACAAUAUUUGUUAAGGUAUCAUGCACUCAAGAUCCUCACUUGGCGUAAAUUCUAAAUUCUAAUUAUGAAUUAUAUGAAAUUUAUAUUGUUUUUUAUACUAAUUUAUGUGUUGGUGCUGCUAUGAUUUCCGUUUCACCAUUGUUGCCUGUUCUUUUUUGUCAAUCGAUGCCAACAUUUAAUUUGACUAAUUCAUUUUAACUAACUUUUAUAUUCGAUCCCCAAUCUUGAUAGUUACAUUGUUUUCAACUUGCAGGUUACUGAAGAUUUAGUGGGAUAUAAUAUGGCCUCCAUUGGCUUCUUUAAGUUAUACUUUCAUUCUUAAUUUGCUUGUUAGUCACAAGAUGCGAACAUACACAAAAGAUGAUUAAAGGUUGAUAAUUUAAAUUUUUGCUUUUGGUUUCUUAUGUUUACCAACUACUUUGCUUUUGGUUUCUGGUUUUUAUACUCUUUCUUAUGCAGGGAGUAAACAAAGUAUUUCCAUUUGUUUCAAGUGAUGAUCGAGGCUGAUGAUAUUAUAGAGGUUCAAACACUAGUUCUUUUUCUAUUGGUGAACUUAAGUUCCAUCUAUGAAUGAUUUUGAAGUUUAUAUUUGUAACAUACUGAAACUUCGGUAGAAUAUUGGACUCUAGCCAAAUUGGCCAAAGAGCCCGAGAGAAAUGGUUGGACGAAGUCUAUUUACCAUUCCAACAGUGUUGGAAGGGUUAGAAAUGAGUUCCAAAGGAUUUAGAAAGGUUUUGGCAUUGAUCGGCGCGAAAUAGAAUCGAAACGGAGCCAAAAACCAAUCUCGGCAUAGUGUAUCGGUACAACCAUCGAGUUGUAACCGGUACAGAUAAGUGUACCGGUACAAAGUGAAAGUGUAUCGGUACAAAUGUCGCAAACCCGAGGGAGCUGCUCUCGGGUUUGGUCAUACGCGAUCAUGUUACCGGUUACACGAUGAAGUGUACCGGUACACUUUCGGCUGACAGCAGGAAAUAGGUCUGCUGCAAAUAUAAGUUGUUGGGGGCUUAUUUGCAAAUGUUGCACACUAUAUAUGCAACCAAACCUCUUCUCCUUCACAGUAGCCCUCUCCUCUCCCAUUUUCUCUCCCUCUCUCUCUCUCUAGAAGUUUUGCACCAAGGCAAAGGAGAAGGAGAAGAAGGCUUGGAGAUGGCAUUUUGAGGGUUUCGAAGGAUUAAGAAGCUCUCCUUCAUGGUGGUCUUGGAAGAGCUUGGGCUAAGGUGAGUUAUUUUGGAAGAAUACAUCUAGGGUUUAGAUCUCUACCCUAAGAUUUAGAGUUUUGAUCUUCUUGCAAGCUUUAGAACCUUGUAGAAACUUGGAAACACAUGAAAACCAUGUGUUCUUCGAGGUGCUCUAAUGGUAGAUUUCUAGGGUUUGUUCUAAACACCCUAGGAAUGGUUCGAAUGGUUCUAAAUGAGUUCUUAAAUGUUGAACAAGCUCUCUUUUACUUGUUCUAGAGAUCAAAACUAAGAAGUGGGAUUAUGGCAUUGUUAGGGCACCAAAUUUGAAAAUUUUGCCUCCGGGUGUUUUCGAGAUAAAUUGACCUCUUGAAAACCUAAUUGGGGGUAUUUCCGACGCGUUGGUGUGCUCAGUUCGUUGAAAUGAAAAGACUAGAUAAUAUUUCUUGGUUAAAAGUCUAAUUUGGCUCUAAUUUGGUACAAAUCAACGGAACUCCCGAAAUAGGAGUCCAAAAAUAACGAGAACGGAUCCAGAGUAUCGUGGCAUCAAGUUAUUGAUCGAACAACUUCCGGAUUUUGGAUUGGUGGCCGUUGGUGGUCGAGUACGAGUUCGGCCGCACCGGACAACGAGUGCCGCGAGAGGCCGAUUAGAAGUGAUUACGAGCAAUCGGAGUGCGAAUCGAGGUGGGUUGUGCUCACCGAAGCGACUAGGUCGCCUCUAUGCCUAAGAGAAAAGUGGUUUCAUGUUGAUGCAUGUAAAUGUUAGAAGAAGCAUGUGGUAAUACUAAAAGAAUGCAUGUGAGCACAUUGUAAGAAUGCAUGUUAAUGACAUAAUGUAAAAUGUUAAUUGGAUGCAUAUGAUGUAAUAUAGAAAUACUAUAAUGCAUGAUGAUAUAAUAUGAAUGAUGCUAGUUAAAAGUAUAAGGUAAAUGGCAUUUGCAUGUUAAGAUAAAGUAGAGAAUAUGCUGGUUGUAAUGCGUAAUGACAAGUUGCAAAGAAUGCUAGUUUGGAUAAGCAUGUUAUGUAAAUGCUAGAUAAUUGCAUGAAGGCAUGGUUAGUAUUGUGAGGACUAUGGAAUACUCGAAUUGGACAACUAGGAUGUGAAUUAGAUCGAGUGGCAUUGGACCUAGUGUUAGUAAACAUAGGUUGGAUAAGAAUGACACAUGAACCUAGUGUUGUUAAACAUAGGUGGGCAUCGAACUUAGUAUUAAAGAACAUAGGUUGAGAAUGAACCUAGAGUUAACUAAAUCUAGGUGUGUGGCAUUAACCUAGUGUCGAGAACAUAGGUUGAGAGUUGAGCCUAGAGUUAAAGUAAACCUAGGUUAUGUGAUUGAGGCAUUAAACCUAGAGUCAGCUGGACCUAGGGUGGAGAGUGCAUUUGUAAUACACUGAACUUUUGCAAAUUGCGGAGUUCGAGUGUGUGGCAUGAGAUGUGGAACUAUCCUACAUAUUCUAAAAGGUUUGGACAAGUUUUUGAAUAAGUUAGAGGAUGAUUGGAAAGCUAGAAGUGAGAAAGUGCAUUGCAAUUUCGAAAUCAGCAUUUUCUACAUUGUGUACCGGUACAGCCAUUACCCUGUACCGGUACAGCAAGCAGCAGAGUCAGCUGCUGCGGGACAGCAGGGUUAUCUUGGUCUUUUCACCUCUUGUUCUUAUCUAUUUCAGUCCAGCAUGACCAGGGAUGUUUGCUGGAGUGUGCUAGAGCUCAGAGGAGCUGCCCUGCACCUUUCUCUCUCUCUCUCUCUAGGAUUUUUCUCCCUCUACGAAGGAGUCGCCGUUUUGCGCCGAUUUGGCGCCGCGCUCGAUUCUCGCUGGUUGGAGGACUCGAGGGAGGUCUUUGGAACGUGGGAAAGAAGGGUCUUAUCAUAUUUCCUGUGAGGUUACUUCCAGGGAAGCUGAUUCUCAGCUUUAGAGAGGUAACUAACUUGCUUUCUCUCGAAUUUACGGUUUAGUAUCGAAUUUUGACGCAGUUUAGUUCUGUUGCUUCCAACUGAAGUAGAAGAGGUUUUCAGCAGUAAAGAGGAGUCAUGUUGGCUGCUCAAUUGUCCAUUUAACCUCAGAGAAACUUUGCUUUAAAGCUUAAUAUGGAUAAUUAGUGAAUUAUAACUCAAUUUUGGACUAUAUGAAGUUUAAGCGAGUAAUUGAUGCAGUUUGGAAAUUGUUCCUUCGCAGCAGGUUUUCGAACCAUUUUGAGCUAAUUUGGUGACCUGGGGAUCUGGUUAGGAAGGUAUUCUAACCAAGGGUAAGCUGGAAUUUCAGCUAGAAACCCAUUUUCGCAAGAAUUCGACUAUAAAAGCUUGUAUACAAGCAUUCUAAUGCCGUUUUGAUGUUGUUUGCAGCAAGAGCGCGAUCGAGCCUUAGAUCAUCUUCUGUUAGCAUUGGAGAGCAAUUGAGGCUUAAUUUGAGGUACUAAUGUGACCCGAAACAGGGAUUUAAGCUAUUACCUUGUAUUAAGUGCGAAUUGUACCGAAAUUGGACAUUUCGGUUGUAGUAGUGAUACGACUUUCGUACCUUAUUAUAGCAGGAUUGAGGCUUCGUGGAGCUUGAAUUCGAGACCUCUUGUGGACUGAUUGGAGCCUAGUAAUAGGUGGGUUUGACCUAACCAGAGCAAGUGAAGCACCCCUAUGUUCUAUAUGUUACUAUAGAAUUGAUACAUAGGUACAUGUUAUAAUUAUAUGAUUGAUAAGGACUCGAAACUUGUCACCGUAACAUUUGAUACUUGGGACUGAAAGCUCUAUAAAGUAGAGAACACUUGUGCAUAAAAGCAUUCAUGUUCAUGCUUGUGACUAUGUUGAUAGUAGCAUGAUAGUGGAAAGAUUCUAAUGCCAUAUGUAAAUNAUGACUUAUGAACAAGUGUAAGAUACACGUAUAAAAACACUGACAUUGACUCUAAAGUAGAGAACCAUGACAUGUUUUCGGACUAUGUUGGUAGCACCAUGAUAGUGAAAAGAUUCUAAUGUCAGGUGUCACGCCCCGGGACCCGGCAAAGGCCCUGCCCGGUGCGUGCCCAGACCCGCCAUAUGCCUGCACAUAUAAGGCGUCUACAACAAAGUGAUAUGAAAGAUAAAAUAAACAAUAACUAACGAUAUCAGAGCAAGCAUGCAGCUAAGUUCUAUCAACAAGCGGAAAUAGAAAGGAAAGAGAAAGAGACUAAACCACUAGAACAUAAAGAAACUAAUACAUCAUAAGUCUCCAGAUACAAAAGUAGGGUGGUCUCUAUAACAAGGUACAAAACUCUCACAACCUCUCCAACGCAAAACAAAAGAGAGGUAGACCACCUAACGCCAAAUCCCUCGGUAGCUAGCUCGAGGCGAAACCUUUCCCGCGAUCCCGAGCCCCUCCCGAAGUGGAAGGCUCUGAAAGAAAACAUAAAACAGGGGGCAUGAGAACUAUAAUUUAUAGUUCCCAGUGGGCAAUUACUGACCUGCACCAACUGCACCACUAGGCCCAAAAGAGAGCAGAUAAAGUUAAUAGAAUUUAACUGCGGUAAAUGAAGCAUAAUAAUAAGAUGCUACUCUACUAUGCCAUAAGUAUGUAGAAUGUCAACAUGAAGUACAUCUACUCUACAUGAACCAGUAUGCCAGUACUUAAACAAAUAUGCUAUGAUGCAACGUGUAAUACUAUGAAGUUUGAUAUAUGUCUCAAAGCCAACUACAUAUCUAGUAUGUACUAUCCUGGCAACCAAGUACACUACGAUGCCAUCAGCGAUACCGUCAAGUAUCCUAUGAAUCUCAAUGUCCGACCCUAUGCCGUAGCAUGUUAAGGAAUCCAACUACUAUGACCUGUCUAGUAGUGAUUAUCAACUUGUUGUUUAAUAUUUUGGUUCAAUCUCAUUCAGGAUCUACACGGGUGUAGUCCGGCUUGUGCCGCCUAAGUGCCUGUGGUAGCCCAACAUUCCUGCCCUUGGAAUGUGUCUGUCCCACUCGACCCCGUAGGCUUCUCAGUACCGCACGAGCGAGCAUAUGUCGCGUAGGCUAACUCCGGAGUGCCGGCUUGUAGGGAGCGACCCGUACAAGCAUGUGCGAAUGAGCACAAAUGGCAAGCAAGCAUGGUCAAAACCUCAAGUACCCAAUCAUCAUGUCUCUAACAUGGUAACAGUCACUAGCAACCCAAAGGUCUAGUACUAUGUCUCAAUGUGAAGGUUAAACCGUUCAAUAAUUUCGAUGUCAAUGACCCUAGCUUUACUAAGUCCAAAUCUCAAGGUGAAGUUCCCACAUUCACUAUGUUUAGUGCCUCUUUAUGACAUUUAAACAUUGCUAUAAUCUAAGCACAUUUCACCUUCUAAGUCUCUUUAUGACGUUAACUUAUUCUAUCAAUAAUAGAUUAAUACACAUGCUCUCUAGUGUGUUCUUAUAUUGCCACAUGUAUGUUCUCUCCAAUGCAACUAUCCACUUGGCAUAAUUUCUCAUAAUAAUAACAUGCAAAUGCAAUUUACAUAUCCAUCAAGUCUAAUGCCGCUUUAUGACAUUAGCUUGCUAAGUCCAUCUCUAGUCCAAGCCUAAUGCCGCUUUAUGACAUUAGCUUACCAUUUGUAUACACUCUAACCUAUGUCACUUAAGGUCGAUAUGACCAACCAUGUCAAGUAUGCGUUCUAAGCCCAAGAGUGUAAUCUAUGUGCCAUAAGCACCAUAUGCAACAUGAUCUUAAUCAAAUGUAAGAAUGCUAACCAUAGGCCCCUAGCCCAACAUGAAAACUCUCUACCAUAUAGAGGUCAAAUAUGCAUUGUAUAUAACAUGUGCAUUUUAAGCAUUCUAAAAUUCACAAAUAAUGCAUCGAACAUGAAUAUGCAUGCUUUUUCAUUUUACAAUACUUAAAUCAUCAACAAUGAGAUUUUCUCAUUAUGUGGCUAGGUCAAACCCACCGACGACAACGGAACCCUUCGAUUGUUCCGAUGAGGGUGUCCACCACUCUCCUAGUACCCUAAAGGUAAGGAAACAAGUGUCACAAGAACCCUACAAACAACACAUAGCUCAAACAUUAAGCUUUUCAAGCUAAGGUGGGAAAAACUCACCGAAAAUGGUGAAUAUCUCUCUUGAUCUCCAAAAGGAGGCAAGAAUCCUUCAAAACCAACCUAAAAGAUGGUUCAAAUAAGAUCAAUCAAGAUCAAAAAGCCUCAACUCGAAAAUCCCCAUUUCUAACCCUAAAAUUCAAAAUCUAGGGUUUCCUCUAACCAAAAUCAACAAAACAUGUAUCAAAUGAAAAAUACAUGUUACUAACCUCUUAAAUAGCCUCAAACCAAGUCCAAAAUCAGCUAGGGUUGGAGGUCUCCUCACAAACAAGCUCCUCUCAAAGCUCCAAGUCUUCAAUCAUGGAGAAAACCCAAUAAAAGCAAAGAAGAGGAGAAGGGAGAGAUCAAAACACCAUAAAAUCCACCAAAAAUAGGGAUCAAACAAGGGAAGGGGAGACUCACCUUGAUCUCCACUGGUUAGGGCUCAAAGAGAGCAGCUAAGGGGGCUGGGGUCACCUAUAUAGGUGUUGUAACAAUUGCAAAUACAUCCCUCCCCGAAACAGCCCGAACUGCACUGCGUACCGGUACACGGGUUUGUGUACCGGUACACAUCCCACGAACCAGCCCAACCCGAGCCUCGGGUUGGCGCUCUGGCUGCCAGGGUCGAUGGCUGUACCGGUACAGCCAUCACCGCGUACCGGUACGCCACCCCGAAAUUUGCAACCCGAGAGCAGCCUAAGUCCUCCACUUUGGCGACCUUAGUGCUACUUGAAAUACCACAAUUCUCGGGAUACGAGCCAUAGGUCUGAACACUGUCUACGACCCACCAGAAAAUCUGGAAAAACUCAUAACACCAGCCAUACACUCGAACCUCGCAGUUUGCAAAGGUCCAGUGCGUUACAUCAGGUGUAAAUUAGCAUUACUCUUGCAUGCUUACUAAACUAGUGGAUUCUAGUUGUGGUUACUAUUUGUUAUAUUGAAAUGCCGAUCGAGGAUCGAGACUGAGAACAUUGCAAAUGAAAAUAUGAUAAUUGAGACAUGUGGAUAGUGGAAUAUGCUUGUUUGCCAUUGUGCUCAUUCACACACGCUUGUGAGGGUCGCUCCCUACAAGCCGGCACUCCGGAGUUGGCCUACGCGACAGUUGCUCGCCCGUGCGGGAUUGGGUGCCGAAGUGGAUUGCCGUGGGGAGUGUAUACUACCACGGGGCCAUUAGGCGCGGCGCAAGCCGGACUACCUUGAGUAGGUCCUUAUGGACGAAAUGAAAGUACUACAUGACAUUUGACAGUAAUGAAUGCUUACCUGUUACAGUAGAUAUUUGCAUAUUCGUGCUUAUGUUCAUGUUAUAUUCAUUACUACAGAGAUUAUGAUUCCAUGUUAAUUACAUGUUCUUCACCUGUUAGCAUUGCAUAUAUAUAUAUAUUAUGCAAUUAUUGCUUUUACUUUCAUUUAGUACAUCAUGAGCCUAGUGGUAUAAUUCGCCGAGGCUGGCUGUUUACCCACUGGGAACUAUUGUUUAUAGUUCUCACGCCCUUUUUAUUGUUAUUUUUACAGAGCCAUCUACAGGAGAGGCUAGGGAUCGUGGCAAGGGAGUCGCGUCUAGCUAGACAUUGCUAGGAGCAUGCUAGUCGAUCACCUUGCUACUCGGGCUACAGCCGAGGGUGAUGUCCUUAUGUAUAGAGAGACUGCCAUUGUAUCUACUUUUGUAGACCCGUGAUGUAUGUGUACUAUUGGGACCUGACUCUAUAGUGGUGAUACUUUUCUUUUAGUUGAGAUUUUGGAUUUUAUACUCCCUGUUCUCUUGUUGUGAGUAUUGUGGACUGUACUUUGCUCUGAUAUCAGGAUAGGAUUAUCUUACCUUUUUACUCCUAUCGACUUGUUUCUUGUAGACGCGACUUAUAUCACCUGCACCGUAAUGGCCGGUCUGUGAACUUAAACUCGGAUUAUGGCUUCCCUGUACGGGCUUUGACAGCAUUGGCCUGUAGUUAACGGUUCUGAUAAUACUUCAGUGGUUUUGAGACGCAAACCCUUGAGUUAACUGUAAGUGAUUCCGGAAUCCAAGCCUACCCGAGUGCAGCGGGCUUGCUAAGUGUAGCAUUUGAGCUAGACAAAGUUCUUGGGCCUGUGGGUGCAUGUGGCAUGUUCCUCUCCCACGCGGGACAGAGACUUCGAGGGCUUGUGAUCUGAGGGCAACGAAGCCAGUGACGGCUACGGUGUAUUGGGCAUGUUCCUCUCCGCCCUACGGGGAUCUCACUGGGCGGGUGUCAUUGCGGCAAUGUCGCUCUCCCACCGGGGGAAUCGCCUUGACCACCGGUGUACGCGCUAACUUUUGGGCGAACCGUUUGCGCGAUGUGGUUCUUGAAAGCCGUAGUUGGAGGUCGGCAUUGUCGAAAGUUCCUUCACCCUCCGAGCAGUGCCGAACAUGAGUGCGGAAUUAUCCCUGUGAUUGACUCAAGACAGAGUCGGGUGGGUAGAGGUGACUUACGUAUGAGUAAGCCUUAAGAAGAAUGGGCAAGUAAAGGAGUUAAGGCUAGCUAAGAAGCAUAAAUACGGCUAAAGACAUAAGGAACNNNNNNNNNNNNNNNNNNNNNNNNNNNNNNNNNNNNNNNNNNNNNNNNNNNNNNNNNNNNNNNNNNNNNNNNNNNNNNNNNNNNNNNNNNNNNNNNNNNNUAACAUACCGUUUCCCCAAUAAGUUGUUCCGAGCUUCCGUCGAAACGAACGAAAUGCGGAUUCGGACGAGUUGGAGAGGUCCGCAAAGUGUUUUAAACGUUCCAGAAUGAAUUAGAGAGGUGUGUGGACCUUGGAGAGCUGCUGGACGAAAUUCUAAAAUUUUCGAAGUUUUGGUGCUCUCGGGGUCCGGACCCUCUGCAGGGUGUGGACCCUAUAGGCGAGAACUGCCCGGUACAGGCUGCCCUGUUUUGAGAAAAAGAGAGGGGCUAAUGUGCAAAUGUGCAUGUGUGUGAGUGUUUAUAAGUGUGGUUAGGGUUGUUAGCCCUCACUUCUCUCACUUCAACCCAACAUGAGAGCUCUCUUUCUCUCUCUAGAUUUCUCUCUCUCUUUCCUUGGGAUGACUCCAAUGGUGGAGACUGGUGGAGAAGAGCUUGCUAGGUGGUGAAGAAACCCUCUCAUGGCAACCUUGCUUGGAGGAAAGCUUCGAUUUGAGAUAAGUAUCCUAAAUUUUGAGGGUUUUGUGGUUAGGGUUUGGUAUUUCCUUCUAGCAUAUGCUUCUAGAGGAUUAUAUGGUGGAUUUCAGCAUGCUUCUGUCACGCCCCGGGAUCCCUUUUUAUUUGAACACAGCGGAAAAAGCGUCUAAAUUUUUUUUUUUUUGAAAACCUGACCCCAGAGUAUGCCAGAUCCGCCACAAAUACAGGGAUUCCACUGUUCACACGGACAGAGUCUUCCCUGUAUUUGCACGGCGUCGCACAAGUACAACAGUACAAACAGGAUACAACCACAACUAAAUGAAUAUAGAAAUAAUUAUUCAUUCAUACAUUCAUACAUUCACCAUUCACAUCACAGAUUUGCAUUUAAUAUUUAAACAUAAAUCCACAGAAAAUUCUUUUGAAAACUGUUUCCUAUACAGAAACCUUUAUCCUUUAAAAGCACUACCACGAGGGGUAGAAAACCUUUCCAUUUCACAAAAUUCACAAAUCCAUUUAUUACAUUCAUGAAAACCCAUAUUUUCAAAUGUAAUAAAAUAUACUGAACCAUAUAAACUAUCUAAGCUAUAUCAACAUAAUAGUAANNNNNNNNNNNNNNNNNNNNNNNNNUGCCAAUAAACGUCUCUUUGACCAAAUGCUGUUGGACUAGAAAAUACAUUCCAUAACAUCAUUAAAACAAGAUCUGGUCAUUCUUCCGCACUCUUAUUACAGUACUAGAGCGCACGACUGUCACCAGGUCUGGCACUGCUGAGCGUAAGUCAAACAAGACAAAUAUUUCUCAAAGCAUACGAACGUUACUUUCGAGCUCUCACCCAAGACAUGGGUAACGAGAAAGCAUUAAUGACACACUUAGUGACAUUAACACCCUUGACAAAGCGAAAGAUAGAUAAACUUUGAAAGUGCUCAGCUCAAAUGUUACGCAUCCCAGAGGAGUACCCAAAUAUCUGACCUGUCUUUGCAAUUUUAAUCUUCCACUAACCUUUGCAAAGUCAGUGCUCGCCUCCAAUCAGGUGCAAAUCUACAAUACCAUUGAGCAGCGAUUAAAUGAAAUGUAAAGUGAACAUCGAAGCCUGUAUAUCCUACCCUAUCAAGAUUUCAGCUCGUGUAAUUUAUCGAACCAUAAGCAUCACAAAAUGAUUUCACAUUAAGGCGACAAUUGAAUCUCAGGAAAUAAAAUCUGUGCUUGAUUUGUGCAAUAAUAUUAGAUUAGCUAGAUCAUGUCACGUAUAUCCCUGUCAAUCUGCAACAAUACAGAAUAUCUCUUGCGUAAUAAAUGCAGUCCAGAUCUCUAUCGAAUAACCUCUCCAUAGCACUAUGGUCGUACUGGCAGGUGAUUCAUCGAAAGUCUGCUCAUGGCAUCAUGAGGCAAAUGCAGUACCGUGAGGCUCAAACGAGCAGCACAAGAAGCGGCAAUUCACUAGGUGAAGACAGAUUCCUCUGACAACUAGUGAACAAACUGUCGUACAACACAUAUUUCGCGACAAAGGAUCGCAAGGUAAUGGUAGAAAUCUAAACUUUUGUGAGAAUACGUGUACGUAUACCAACCUUUGCAAAUUGAUAGAACAACUCAUAUUGAUACUAUUCUAGCAUACACAUAGGAAAGAUACAUCAAUCAAGAUCCCAAAUAAAUGAUCAUAUUAGCCUGUAUCGUCGGCCAAUAAAGCUACAAAUGCUAUUGCCCUCUGGCAAAGCGAGAUACAAUAACAAGCGAAUAAGACCAAUACAAGUGGCAGUUAAGAGGACGUAUCCAACAUUUUAUGCCUGCAGCAUCUUCUAAUCUAGGAAUCAGAUCCUCACACGUGCUGGCGCCGUGCCAUGAGUGUCUAUGCUCUUGAGUGAUGUGAACACGCCCGAGUCGUGUGAGAUUUCCAGCCUGAACCAGUUCGAGACGACAAUGUUAAUCUUGCUCUCUGUACCCCCAAAAAGAUAACUUAAAACAUGUCAUCUCACUAUUGCUUGAGGAAAUGACUAGUUAAGCAUUUUGUUCGCAAACUCUAGACUGAGCUGCACGACCAUAUAGAACAACUCGUCCAGUGCAUGUAAUCGUUUCUUCUCCACUACAAACCAUCACGCCACGUCUAUGGAUAUCAACUCUCCGUGCUCUAGGGGUGCUCAAUACGUGAGGACAAAUAGGUGAUGAAGGGUCUGUCGUCACCUCAGUCAGGGCAACCAACUGUGCACGUCAGCAUCAGGGGAUGCGCAUGCCUAGGUCGCGACACCGUCGCUCCAACAACAGGGGUGCACCUCGCCUCCGGUCUGUCGGGCCUGCUCUCCAUGUCGAGGUACUCUGCUCACAUCUGCUCAGGUCUCUCAGGGGCAUCCCGCACGAUCCCCGCGCCAACUGGGCACCUCUCGCACGACGGUCGACCUCGGCGAUGAUACAUAGCUGAAAGAACAAAUCGGGGUCAGAUACAACCGCACACUACUCCGACCCAAUCAACGAAAGUCUAUGAAGGUGGUCCCUGUUUCCUCCAAAAUACGUCGUCUGCAGGCAAAUAAUUUCUCAGGCCAAAACAGAACUCCUUCAAUCACUCACGACCCACUCUAGGAGGAGUUAGAAUCGGAUAACAUUGACUUUCGGCAAUAAAAUUACCCUCUACGGCGUCUUACUUUCCUAAAAGGUUUGCCCAAUUAAGGUUCUGCCUCAGGUCCCAACGACCCUAUAGCAACGGCUCCUGAUAUAACAUUAAAAUCUGUCACGCCGCCGAUAUCUCGUUCCCGGCAUGUGGCGCCGACAAAUCCGCCGUAUACAAAAGGAAUUUCCCGCUGUAUACGAAGCGCAAAGUACUGAAGAAUAUACGAUACUAACAUACAGUAGCAUAGAGCCUCAACAAAGACUAAAUAAUGAGUUCAUAUACAUAGCUAGAAUCCAAAAUACAAGGCGCUACUCGCAUUGGCGAGUCUAAACAACUAUGUAGCAUAACUCCAAAACAACAACUAACCUGGGGCAGUAGGGAAGCCCUCGUAGCUCUGACUGUCGGGUAGGGCUCUAGCUGCGCAACGCCUCCUCGCUCGAUCCUGGUCGUCGGAAGAUGCAGCAGCCGGCACCUGUGACUACUACAAAAACAUAAGUAACACGAGGCACCGUCGUGAUUGAAUUCCGAACCGAAACCUGCGUUCUAAGUCGACGGAUUUCGCCGAAAAACGCAUCGAAAAUCACUUUUCGAUUCGCGCAAGGGCUUGGGGCCUUGGACGAUCAGUCCAGAGGUUAUCGCUCGAGCCCAAACAUGCUGCCUAACAGCAAUCUACACGAAGCAAAGUCCUAAAAGCCGCCAUACCGAUACAUGAAAUCCGCAUCAUUUUAUGGUGCUUUCUAGCUCUUUUCUGUGACGCGUGCACACAAACGCAGAGUCGAUUAUACCGACGUCGCACUUUGCUGACAGGUUUCAUCAGUCGGAGGCCCGUGCUCCUACCUUCGGACACUGCGGACCACUGCGGUGCGCGCCGGAGUGACACAAUUAUGAAACCAGUGCGCACAGCGCGAAAGGUCGCGACUAACUUGCUAACCAGUACAUUUUUGCUCGCUGUGAGUGAGCAUCGUGUUCAGGCACGACACCCUAGACCAUCGUGCUCAUUUCUCCGGGUGUCGGGAAGUCAUCGGAUCACCGGAAAGGUGCCAGAAAGCUUAAUUUGCAAUGCUGGAACUCAAAAGCAGGCAUACCGGAGCAGUUGGGAGCUAGGGUUUGGUCGCACGGGCGGCGCGGAGGGCGGGCACUCCGGUGGGAUGGAGCAGACGGUCCGACGAGGCCCGGGGAGGGUGCUGGCCGGCGCGCGGGCGGCAAACUCGGUGGGCGCGGACGGAGAUCGACUCCGCGCGCAGUCCCCUCUCGAUUGCUAAUGGCUUCCGCGGCGGCAGGCGACGAGGAGAAGUCGGGCGGGCUUACGGUGCGCCGGGCGGCCGGGCGCGAGGGGAGGGCGGUGCACCCCUGGUGGGCGGCGGCGGCGCUUGGAAGCCGAGAGCGGGCCCGACCUCAGGCCCGCACAGGUCUGGCGCCACGAGAAGGUUCACGUGGCGGGCGGCGCGCGCGGGACGGCGGAGGACGCGCACGUCCGGUUGCCGGAGGUCGCCGGCCAAAAGGAGGCACGUCGUGGCCGAGAGGAAGCGUGGUCGCAGAGUGCUUGAGCCGGCUCGGACAGGCUGACUCCGAGUUGGCCGCAGGAGAGAGGGUGGCUCCGGCGGCGCUCGGGUGGCCGGGGCCGCGGGGGAAGCCGGGGAAUGGGUCUCGGCCAGGGAAAGAUGGGCUCGGCUUUGGAUCUUCCCCAACACAGACGGAUCGAAGAUGUGGCAAGUCGGGGCUAGAGGGGAACCGGAGAGAAGGUUGGGGUGGCUUUUCCGGCAGCGGAGCAGCUCGCCGCUGCCGGGGCGUGAGCACUGGUUGGGCAGUGGUGGAGCGGGCCGGCGCUGUAGCAAGCUAGAAGAAAUUAGGGUUAGGGUCCCUGGUUGAACCUUAGAACUAUUUUUAUUCUAUGUGUACAAUUGCGGAGAACACCCUCCUAGUCAAGUAAUUCUUACAAGCCCGCGCGCCAGCAUGUGGAUUAUGCGUAUAGGGUCGCCUCGAACUUCCGAAUUCGCAGCAAGACCACGCAAAAAUAAGUUGGACGCUUUUCGCGAAUAAUCGAUUUUGCCAACCUUGACGUCUCUCAGGCGGAACUUUUCCGAUUCCGAAAGAUCGUUCGUCGGGAUUUCGAUCCGACUGAGCCAAUUCGGCGUUCAGUAGCAAACGGGAGCACGGAAACUACGAUUUCAAUUCUUAUCAUCCAAUUUGGCAGGCUUUCGCGACGGAACCCAUCCGCUCUCUAAUUAAUCCAUAUAUCGUACGUAUACCAAUGUGUAAACCCAUUAAACCAACUUUCGCAUUAGAAAUUGACUUCCCUACCACUAGUAGGGACCCGAAACAUUCUUCACCCUACUCCAGGUCACAAGCACGGAGCACGAGAAGCUUUAGAAUGCACAAAAAAAGCAAAGAGCGAAAACCCUCUUUUCGGUAAAACUCCUUUUUCUCGAAAACCGUGCAUCAGAUCUAAAAUCCGUCAGUGCCAUUGGUUUCAGAAUAGCUGAACCGAUCGAAACGAGCUAUUGGAUCGCUAUGAACAGAGUCCGAUACAUGCCGAAAGCCAACUCUACUCCGUAGCUUCUCCGAAAAAAUCGGGUUACUAUUCACUUUAAGUGAAAACUAAUAAUCACGUAACUUCUCCGUUCUAGCUCAUUUUCUCCUGAAACUUGAUGAGUGCUUAUGUAAUUAAAUUACACACAUAAACAUCAUCAACAGAGAGUUUAGUUGCACUGUAAAAAAUCUCAGUCCUUACAGCUUCUCUAUAUCUAGGGACCUAAUUGGAGAAGAUGAUUAAGUAGAGGGGCUUAUGUUAGGGUUUGGUUCAAAUGAGAUCCAAAUGAGUGAUUGAUCUUUUGUUACCCUAAUUGCUAGGCAAGCGAAUGUGUUGGUGAACUCGGUUCGGCGAUCCAACAAGUCUAUGCGGAGAAAUAAAAGGAAAAGCCUGUUUUGGCUCAGUUUUGCUGCAGUCGAGAGAAAUCGGCGUCCAAAAAUCGCGGGACUUGAAUCGUGGUCUUCUAGCAUCACUACAGGUGAGGGGUGCUAUCCGGAAUCGUUGAAUUUUUUUCUAUGUCUAUGUCGCCUUUUCUUGAGCAUAUAUGUGCGUUAUGACAUUCAUGCAUUGCAGAGUGGUGGGCUAUUGUUGGGAAUUAUGUAUAUGCUUUCAAUGUUGGUGAAUAUAUGAAUUGAUUAGUGGACCAUACACGUGAACCCUAUGAAUGUACGAAAUGAAUGUGGACUAUGAUUGUAGUAAACAAGGGUGACAUUGACAUUAGCUAAAAUGAAUUAUGUUGUAUGCUAGAUAAGGUAAAACCUUAAAAGCAUUGUGAGAUGUUGGAUUAUAAUGUUAGUAAACAUUAUGGGCAUUGAUAAAUGUUGAACUAUAAUAAUAAUGAGUAUUGUGGCAAGUGUGGCCCUGGAUAUUGUGGCUUGGUGAUAUUAGUGGCAUUAUGACAAUGUAACAUAGUGACCUUAUGUCACGCCCCGGGACCCAGCGGAAGCCCGCCCGGCGCGUGCUCAGACCCGCCAUACGUCUAAAACGUAUAAGGCGUCUAAGAACAACAAUAAUAAAAGCAAUAAUAAAAGACAUUUAGGAGUAUCAGAGCAUAAUAAAUGUCUAAAUGCUAUAACCAGGGAUAAGGAUAAAACUGUAAAUCCACUAAAUAAAACAUAAAGUGAUACAAGGAAAUCCCAGAUACAAGUGCUAUAGGUAGAUACAUAGGUGGUCUCUAUACAUGGAUACAAAAACCUCUCACUCUCUCUACUACAAAAAGAAAGAGUAAACCACCUAGGCAAAGUACCGCUCCUCACUAGCUAGCUAAGCGAUCCCCUUGCCGCGAUCCCGUGCCUCCGCCGGUGCCGAAGGCUCUGAAAGUAAACCAUAAAACAGGGGCGUGAGAACUAUUAAAAAUAGUUCCCAGUGGGCAAUUACUGACUUCAGUGAAUGCACCACGAGGCCCAAAGCUACAAAAGAUGUCAGUGACUAACAAUGUAGUAAAGCGAAAGGUAAGUAAAAUGUAACUCACUAUAACAUGGAAUUUCUACUUAGCAUGAUUUGCACAAGUAAUGAAGCAACGAUAUCAUGAAUGUACAAGGAUGUGUAUGACAUGCAUAAGCACAGAAAUUCAACUAAUCCGAUGUUCUCAAUGCAGAAAUAGUAAAGAUGCCAUUGUUUACUAUUCUAGCCCAAGUUCACUUUAAUAGUUUUAAAGUUCACAUAGCACGUUCUGUCACUAAGUCCCAAUCAUAUAAGACCCACCCGAAGGCUGUCUGGCCUGCGCCGUGCCUAAUGGCCCCGUGGUAGUCAACAUCCCCACUCUAGGAAUGAGCCUCCCCCACGGCAAUCCACUUCGGCGCCCAAUCCCGCACGGCGAGCAUGUGUCGCGAUGGCUAUCUCCGGAGUGCCGGCUUGUAGGGAGCGACCCUCACAAGCAUGUGCGAAUGAGCACAAAUGGCAAGCAAACAAUGAUCUGUCUCAAGUACCAAGUCCUCAUGUCUAAAAAUAUGGAAUAUAUCAAGUAUCUCAAUGGCCUAUCUCUAUGUCAUCAUGUCUCUAACAUGGAAUAUAGCAGAUACGUAAUGGCCUAUCAAUAUGUCUCUAUGUUGCAGUUUAAAUGUUUACUAGUUCCCAAGUGCCUCUUGAUGACACUUUUUGCUACUAAGUUCAAAUAUAGUAUAAUGUUUCCCAUACAUGAACAUGAGCUAAAUUAGCAUACUAGACGAGAAUCUCAUUCGUCCACAUGAACCCACCCCACAUGCAUGACAAUAACCUUAAUUACUCUACCAUAUAGAGUGAAAUUUAACUUACACAUAGGGCAUGUAUUUUAGGUGUUCUAAAAUUCACAUAAAUUCCAAUUAGCAUAGGAAUGCAUUUAAAAAUAAUUUACGAAGAGUUUAAAAUGAAUAGGGGCCAUUUCGCCCCAUCUCCANAAAACUCUUGCAACUCUUCGUAAGCUCCGACGAAGAUGCCCACUAGCCUCCUAGCACCCUAAAGAUGUAGGAACAAGGGUUAAACGAACCUUACGAUUAACCCUAAACUCAAUCAAUAAGCAACAUAGGCUAAGAUGGAGAAAAACUCACCUAGGUGAAGAAAUUCUCUCUCUAGCUCCAAAUGGGAGUUAGAGUUCUUCAAAUCCAACCUAAAUAAAGGUUCCAAACCCAUCAAUUAGGUCUCAAAACCCCCAAAUCCAAAAACCCCCAAAAUAAACCCUAAAUCCCAAAAUCCAGGGUUUCAUCUAGUAAAACCUAGAAAAACUGUAUCAAAUGGGGAUUACAAGCUACCAACCUCAAAAGAAGCUCCAAUCCAAGCUCAAAACCAAGUAGGGUUGAAGUUUGAUCCUCCACAAAGCUCCAACCGCAAGUUCCAAGCCACCAAAGUGAGAAAUGGGGAAGAAGAUGAUGCUCCAAAGCCUCCAAGCAAGCUCCUUCUCUUCUUCUUCUUCUUCUUCUUCUUCUUCUUCUUCUCCCUCUCUUCUUCUCUCUCUAGAAUAGGUGGGAAGGGAAGAAAUGAGGAGAGAAGAGGGUGAAAUGGCCAAAUAGGCCAUUAAAAGCAACAAAAUCCACUUAGGUCCCUCAAAAACUCAAAUUUACAUCAGCCCGGUCUGGGCAGUUUUCGCCCAGAGGGACCGGUCUCCCCGACCUGGGAUCGGUCUCUCAGCCUGCCCCCGAAAAUCCAACGUUCGGGAACCGGUCUCUCCCUGCGCGGGACCGGUCUCUCCCCGCGCAGACGUGCUCGGGGACCGGUCUCAACUGCCAGGGACCGGUUGCCUCGCCGGCUGCGCAGCACUGUUCACUGGGGGACCGGCCUCUCCUAUCAGGGACCAGUCCCUGAGAGUAAAAACUCUCAGGACUCAGCCAAAACUCUCGAGAUCGAACUUUUAGGCCGGUAUACCAUCGACGGCCCUCCACCAAGUGUGGAAAUGUUCGGAAUACAAAUCGAACACUCGAACCUCGCAAUUUGCAAAGGUCCAGUGUGCUACACCUUAUGACAUAAUAUGCUAGGGAGGGUAAACCCUUAUGAGCAUUAUGAGAAUUGUGGCAAGAGUGGCCAAGUAUGUGACAUACUAGACAAGGUAAAAUCCUUUUAUGCAUUGUGGCAAUAUAGCAAGUGUGGCUAUACGUCCUCAAAUUGAGGAUUGGAUCGAUAUUCACAUUGAGUCUUGGCUUGAGGAAGGUAGCUCCCCCUCGAGCGGUUCGCUCCGGAGUUGGUCACCACUGGACGAGGUAAAGUCCCCUCAGAAGACGGUCCCUCGGGCAUGGUAAAGUCCCCUCGAUCGAUAGGAAUUUUGGGUUGUGAGUUUUGGGGUUAACAAGUGUUAACCGGGUUGAUUGGGUAAAAGCCAAGGAAAGUGAAUGUGAAAAAGUAUGCAUGCAUUAUCAUUAUGAUUAUCUUACUUGUUGGAUUUAUUAUUGUUUAGGCAUUGUAAUAGCUUUGUAUUAGUUGGUUUGCAAUCUAUCUAUUAUUUUCUUACAUAUGCCUGAGUAGACCUAGUGGGCGAGUCGGCGGUGUUAGCGGCCGAACCAUUGGAAACUUUGUUGUAAUUCUCAUCCCACUAACCAUGCAGGUUCUAGCGCGAGCAGGGCGAUCGUGGCUCGUGGCAUGGUUAUCGUGCUCUAGGUAGCGGACUACCAUUGUGUAUAGAGCCACCCGUUGUAUUUCAUCUAUUAUGUUCGAUGAAUGAAAAUGUAAUAAAAUCAUGUAAGAGAUGGUAAUGUAUAUUGGAUGAAUGAUUGUAAAGCAAAUGUAUAAGCUUUGUAUUUGAUUGAAAGUGAUCAAGUUACAAUGUAUGAUGUAAUAGUUAGAUUGCUUUCACUUGUGGUUGUUGUUGCUUGCUCUCGAGCAAGCAAUGUAUACUCGCAUUCUUAUAUUUGAAUUGUUACUGUUACACAUGUGUUGGUAGAGCCUUGGGCGGACAGGAGAGGUGCUGUCCGUUCGGCGUCUGUUGACGUGCCCGAACCGACCAAAUUGGCGGUCGUAGGGCGUGACAGGGGGCCAAUUGCAAAAAAAGCCUUGAGUUUUAUUUUGGCCCACAGUGGCGUAAAUGCGAUGGUGAUAUAUAUAUAUAUAUAUAUAUAUAUAUAUAUAUAUAUAUAUAUAUAUAACCGUGCCCUCAAUACCAGCCGUGGAAUUUCGCAUCCACGACUAUUGUGGCGUGACGAGAGAAAGGAAUCUGCAACUACAGAAGCCGUUCGUUUCCGCAUAAAAUUGUAAAAACAUAGUUUUGUUCGUGACCUCGCCCUUCAUACCAGCUGUCGGAUUUUUCAUCCACGGUUGUUGUCGCUUGAUGAGAAAAAAAAAUCCGCAAUCCCAGGAGCUGUUUGUUUUCACACAAAAUUUUGAAAGGAUGAUUUUUGUAAUGACCAUGCCCUUUGAUACCAACCGCUGGAUUUCUCAUCCACGGCUGUUGUUGCGUGACGAGAGAAGGGAAUCCCCCAUCUCAGAAGUUGUUUGUUUCCAUGUAAAAUUUUGAAAAAAAUAAUUUUGGCGAUGACCAUCAUACUAGCCGUAGGAUUUCUCAUCCAUGGUUGAGAAAAAGAAUUCAUAACUUCAGGAGCUGUUUGUUUCCACAAAAAAAAAAAUGGAAAAGAAUUUUUGGCGCCACCAUGACCUUGAUACUAGAAGGAGUUGUUUGUUUUCGCAUAAAACUAUAAAAAAAAUAAUAACUCUUUAGCAUUUUUUUUUUUGAGAGAAAGGUAGCAUGCUACCCGCUUCGUUUAUUUCAUUUAGAAAUAACUUAGCUGGAAAUGUGAAUCAACUAGGAUUUGAACUUGGGUCUCGGGUAUCAACCACCAAGUCCUUUUGCCACUUGCGCCAGGGACGGUCGGUAACUUUCUUUAGCAUUAGUGCCUGUUCGUAUUGGUUGGAAAAGUAUAUACAAAUUUUACAUAUAAAAUUACAUGGCCAAUUUGCAUAAAAAAUUCAUAAAUUUUGAGCUUUUGCAAAACUGGGCUGCCUUUUUUUAUUUUGCAGAUUCGGUCCGAAUUUUCAGCAAACUGACCAAAAUACCCUUAUUACUUUUUCUCUCUCCUCUUUCUCUCUCAUCUUCUUUUCUCUCGUUUAUUUUUUUUUCUCUCGCCGAAGAAAGCAGCGGAGGUAGAGGCAGAGGCGGAAACGGCCCACCUAGCCUCUCACCCUUAUGCUCUCGCCCUCGUCUUUUACCUCGCCCGCGCACCCCCCACCUUCCUCGCCUACUACCCGUCGAGCCCGCGCCGCUACUCUUUUUUUUUUUUUUUUUUUUUUUUUUNNNNNNNNUUUUUUUUUCUCUCUGACUCUCCUCCACCGUCUCCGACGACGACGCCUCUCUCGCCCUUCCCCGCCCUUCUCGUCCUCUCCUUCUCCCUCCUCCUCUGUUGUCUCCGACGACGACGCAUCUUCGUCGACGCCGACACCGUGAAAGUCGCUGCGGCGCUGCACCCUCGGAGCGGCGGGUCCUUAACGGCAUCGUCGCCGGCGCUGGCGUCGUGGCCGUUGGCAGAGAGGGAUGACAAAAAAAAAUUAUAGAAGAAGCAAAAAAAAAAAGAUAAAAAAUUAUAGAAAAAGAAAGAUGAAAAUAAAAUUGCAUCGUAAAAAUAAAAUUACACUAUUUUAAAAGAACGUUGCACUAUUAUGAACAUAAGUUGCAUUAUUUAAGAUGUAAACUGCAGUUUUAAGAUAAAAAUUACACUCUUUAAAUGAAAAUUACAUUCUUUGGGAGAUAUUUAUAUUGUUUCUCCUCUUAUUGUACUCUUUCAGAUGUAAAUUGAUUCCAUUAAGAUAAAAGUUAUAUUUUUUAAACGAAAGUUGCACUCUUUGAGAGAUAUUUGCAUUAUUUUUUCUCUUCUUGCACCAUUUGAGAUGUAAACUGCAUCUCUUUAAGAGAUAUUUAUACUGUAUCUCUUCUUGUUGCACUGUUUUUUUUCUUGUUGCACUAUGUCUCAUCUUAUUGCACUGUUUCUCCUCUUAAAGGUGCAGUUUAAGAGGAAAAACAGUGUAACAAGAGGAGAAAUAGUGCAGCAAGAGGAGGAACAGUGCAACAAGAGGAGAAACAGUAUAAAUAUCUCUUAAAGGGAUGCGGUUUAAAUCUCAAUGGGUGCAAGAAGAGAAAAAAUAGUAUAAAUAUCUUUCAAAGAGUGCAACUUUAGUUUAAAGAGUGUAACUUUUAUCUUAAUAGAUGCAGUAUACAUCUAAAAGAGUGCAAUAAGAGGAGAAACAGUGUAAAUAUCUCCAAAAAGUGUAAUUUUCAUUUAAAGAGUGUAAUUUUCAUCUUAAAGCUGCAGUUUACAUCUUAAGUAGUGCAACUUAUAUCCAUAAUAGUGCAACGUUCUUUUAAAAUAGUACAAUUUAUUUUAACGAUGUAAUUUUAUUUUCAUCUUUCUUUUUCUAUAAUUUUUUAUAUUUUUUUUUUCUUGCUUCUUCUAUAAUUUUUUUUUUAUCACCCCCCUCUGCCAACGGACACGGCGCCGGUGACGACGCUGCUAAGAACCCUCCGCUCCGAGGCUGCAGUGCCGCAGCGACCUUUACGGUAUCGGCGUCGGCGAAGAUGCGUCGUCAUCAGAGGCGGCAGAGGAGGAGGGAAAGGGAGAGGACGAGAAGGUCGGGAAAGGGCGAGAGAGGCGUCGUUGUCGAAGACGGUGGAGGAGAGUCGGAGAGGAAAACAAAAAAAUGAGUCGCGGUGCGGUCUCGGCAGGGUCGGAGGCGAGGAAGGUGGGGGUGCGCGGGGGCGGGUGCGGGCGCGGGCGAGGGCGAGAGCAUGAGGGUGAGAGGCGAGGUGGGCCAUUUCCGUUUCCACCUCUGCCUCCGCUGCCUCUUCGGCGAGAGAAAAAAAAUUGAACGAGAGAAAAAAAAAAAAGGAGAGAGAAAGAGGAAAGAGAAAAAGAUAUAAAGGUAUUUUGGUUAGUUUGCUGAAAAUCUGGUCCGAAUCUACAAAAUCGAAAAAAGUGGUCCACGUUUGCAAAAGCGCAAAACUAGUGGAUUUUUUAUGCAAAAUGACCAAAUUACAUUACAUAAUUUUAUUUUCUAUAUUAAAUUAUAUAAAUAUAAAAAAUUUAUUUAUAUAUCCCUAACAGGUGGAGGAAGAAAAUAUUCUCGUGCACCCAAUCUACCGCAUCAUCAGCCAUGUAGGCACAAUAAAUUAUUCUUCAAUUUUUUUUAUUAGGUUAUGUUAGUACAUCAGAAGCAGAUAUUCCGAUAAAUCUUAUUCGGCACAAAAUUUUUCUUACAUGGUUAGAAUUUAGAAGUUUAAUUGCCGUUGGUAUUCAUGAUUGUAUAGAAUUAUAUAUUUUAUCUUCGAAAUGAUUUACUUUAUUUCACAAAAGCUUAAAACAAAAUAUUAUAUUCAUUCUUUGAAUUUGAUCCUCUUGUCAUCUAUCAAAUUUUAUAUACGGGAUUUUUUUGCAUCUAGCCCCUUAAAAAAAAUUAUUUUAAAAAUAGCCUCAAUAAAUUUAUAUUUGUACUUUUGGCCCUGACCCUACCACGCAGAUGCCACGUCAGCGUCACACCAGCGGGGCUGGGCCAGGGUGUUAAGUUGAAUACGGUGAACCAUUCACCGUGGCCAAACACGGUAAAUGGUAUACUGUGUCUAGAGAAAAUACAAAUAUAUGUAUUUUUUGCAAUAUAAAUAUUGAAAAGAGGAAUAAAUAGUAAGGAUGUCAAUAGGUAUGGAUAUCUGAAAUAUUAUCCGAACCCAAACCCUAAUAAAUUAUUUAUAUACAUAAUUUAUUUUUAUUUUUGACCAAUUUGCAUAAAAAAUCCACUAAUUUUGGGCUUUUGCAAAAGUGGGCCACCUUUUUCGUUUUUGCAGAUUCGGUCCUAUUUUUCAGUAAACUGACAAAAAUACCUUUAUAUCUUUUUCUCUCUCCUAUUUUUUUCUCUCUCGUUCUUUUUUUCUUUCUCUUCCUAGAGAGCGGCGGAGGCGGAAGUGGAGGCGGAGGCGGUUCGCUUCGGUUUUCUCCGGCGCAUCCUUACCCUCACCUGCACCACCCCCCCUGCCUUCCUCGCCUCCGACCUCACCGAGACCGUGAUGUGACUAUUUUUUUUUCCCUCUCCGACCCUCCUCCACCGCCUCCGACGACUAUGCCUAUCUCACCCUCUCUCGCCCUUCUUGCCCUUUCCCUCUCCCUCCUCCUUCACCUCCUCCGCCGCCUCCAACGACGAUGCCUCUCCGCUGACAUCGGCGCCGCGGAGGUCGUUGUGGCGCUGCAGCCUAGGAGCGGGGGGUUUUUAGCCGCGUAGUCGCCGGCGCCAUGGCUGUUGGCGGAGAGGCGUGACAAAAAAAAAUUAUAAAAGAAGGAGGAAGAAAAAAAUAAAGACAAAAUAUUAUAUAAGAAGGAAGAAGAAGAUGAAAUUGUAUUGUUAAAAUAAGAUGACACUAUUUUGAAACAAAUUUGUACUAUUUUAAUAAAAAUUAUACUAUUUGAUAUAGAAAUUACACUCUUUUGGAAUAGAUUUUACACUCUUUAGGCUAACGUUGCACUAUUUAGGAGAAUUUUGCACCAUUUCUUUUUUUUUUCUUUUUCUUUUUCUCUUCUCCUUCUUCUUCUUCCGCUGCUGCCUCCCGCCCGGCCCGAGGUCCCUUCCCGUUGUCAGGGCCCUGGAGCGGGGAGGCGCCCUCGUCGCCGGCGACUUUCGGGGCAGUUGGCGGCCCCGGAGCCUGCCGGCGGGUACUUCGUCGCCGUCGCUGCUGCCGUCGCCGUGGACGGCGAGGCCGCCCUAGUUGAUGGCGACCUUCUCGACGAGGCCUACAGAAGGGCGACGGCGCGAUCGGCCCCGCGCGGGGAGGCGCUCCUGAUCUCGGCCCGGGCGAGCGAGAGGCAGCAGCAGAAGAAGAAGAAAAAGAGAAAGAGAAAAAGAAAAUGAAAAGAAAUGGUGCAAAAUUCUCCUAAAUAGUGCAACAUUAGCCUUAAGAGUGUAAAAUCCAUUACAAAAGAGUGUAAUUUCUAUAUCAAAUAGUGUAAUUUUUAUUAAAAUAGUUCAAAAAAAUCCUAGCAAUAAUCUUUUAAAAAAAUUGCAUGAGUUUCAAAAGGAAAGAUAGGUGUCGAAUUUAUUUUAAAACAGUGUAAUCUUAUUUUAACAGUGCAAUAUCAUCAUCUUCUUCAUUCUUAUAUAAUUUUUUGUCUUUCUUUUUUUCUUCUUCCUUCUUUUAUAAUUUUUUUUUGUCACGCCUCUCCGCCAAUGGCCACGGCGCCGGCGACGCUGCCACUAAAGACCCCCCGCUCUGAGACUGCGGUGCCGCAGCGACCUCCGCGGCGCCGAUGUCAACGGAGAGGCGUCGUUGUUGGAGGCGGUGGAGGAAGCGAAGGAGGACGGAGAGGGAAAAGGCGAGAAAGGCGAGAGAGGGUGAGAUAGGCAUCGUCGUCGGAGGCGGUGGAGAAGGGUCGGAUAGGGGAAAAAAAAAAGUCACAGCGCAACCUCGGUGGGGUCGGAGGUGAAGAAGGCGGGGGGUGCGCGGGCGAGGGUAAGGAUGCAUCGAACAAAACCGAAGCAUGCUACCUCCGCCUCCGCCUCUACCUCGGCCGCUCUCUUGGAAGAGAAAGAAAAAAUGAACGAGAGAAAAAAAAAAAGAGGAGAGAGAAAAAGGUACAAGAGUAUUUUGGUCAGUUUGCUGAAAAAUCGGACCGAAUCUACAAAAACGAAAAAGAUGGCCCACUUUCACAAAACCCCAAAAUUAGUGGAUUUUUUAAGCAAAUUGGCCUUUAAUUUUUUAUACAAUAUAUAAAAUAUUUAAUAAUUUUUAUUCCUUAGAUCUUCAUCCAACGGUAUAGAUUUUUAAAACCCGCCAGGUUCGGGUUUCGAGUUUUUGGUCGGGUAUAGAUAUGGGUAUGGAUUUUUAAAACCCAUCGGGUUCGGAUCCGGGUUUGGGUUUUAAUUUGAUUUUCGGGUUCGGGUUCAGGUUUUUGAAAAUCUGGCCCGUUGACAUCCCUAAUAGGGAGAAUAUAAGUACGGAAUACGGUGAAUCAUUCACCGUGCUUGAACACGGUGAAUGGUUUACCGUGUCUAGAAAAAAUAUAUGUAUUGCGAAAAAUAUAAAUGUUGAAAAAGAGAAGAAAAAAAAAAAAAUGAAACACCGUGUUUGAACACGGUGAAUGAUUCACCGUGUUCAACUUGCCAAGCAGGCCCCAGCUCGCUCAUGUGGUGCUUGCGUGGCGCCUGCGUGGCAGGAUAGGGCCAUUUUUUUAAAUAUAAAUUUGUUGGGACUAAUUUUAAAAUAAAUUUUUUUCAGGAGACCAUUUGCAAAAAAAAACUCAUAUUUUUAUUAUCUUAUAUAAUAUUCAUAACUAAUAAAUUUAUUAAUUUAUUAAAUUAUUUUUAAUUAAUACUUUGAUGUUAAUUAAUUAGAUAAAUUAUUUUUAAUUUAAAAUUAUAACACUUAUUCAUCUUAUUCCAAUCUAACUAUUCAAAUAUUAUUUAUCUUAGUAGGAAUAAAUUUAAUUUUCUUUUAAAUACAAAAAAAAUCUAAUUGUUGCUUAUAUCUAAAUUUAUAUUUAUUUUUUAAAUAAAUAAAUUUUUAUUUAUAUUCGAAUCAAAUGCAGCGUAAGAGAAAACCGCACCACAGGUGGGUGACCACUCUCUUUUGGAAUCCGCCCCGUUUGCAUUCUGAUUAAACCUACAUCAACAUUCGGGCCCUCCGCUGCUCCAGCUUCGGCAAAAGCUAACCGGUUCCCGAGCACACUCCAUCCUCCUUAUCCGCUCGUUCCCACCCUACUGCUCACUCCGCCCCCCGCGCCCGCUUCGUCGCCCGCCGCUCCGAGUCCAUCUCCGUCCGCCAGCUCCAGCGCCCUCUCAGUAUAUCAUCAUCACCAUCAUCAUCAUCAUUCUCUUCCGUCCGUUAAUCCCCACCACCCCUUCCCCCCUUCCAAACCUCUCUUCUCAAUUUCUAAUGCUGUGAUGCUGCUGUCUUGUUGUUCUGCAGUCGAGUACAUGCGGCUGCCGGCCAGCCAGUACUCCGUGCUGGACGCCGAGCGCAUCGAGCGCGUCGACGACCGCACCUUCCGCUGCUACGUCUACCGCAUCAAGUUCUUCGCCUUCGAGGUCUGCCCCGUCCUCCUCGUCCGCGUCGACGAGCACCCCUUCGGCUGCUGCAUCACCCUCCUCUCUUGCAAGGUACCUUUUACCAACCACUCCUGCUCCUCCCCCCCUUGCCUUUUUCCUUUUUCUUGAAUAAUAAUUUCGAUUGAGAAAUUCUUGCCGAAAUGCUAGUUGGAGGGCUCCCCGCUCGUCGAAGCUCAGAAUGAUAAAUUUUCAGGUAAUCUUCGCUUUCUGUACUGCGGCUCUCUUAAUUUCGCUUCAAGAAGAUUCAUAUCGAAACGGAUAUCUAUCUCGUAGAAUUGCCAAAGAUCUGGUUUGUUUGUUUGAUGGGGGAAAGUAGCGGAAGCGGCAGUAACGAACUUUCAACUUUCUGCGGAUUUGUUGUAUCAAAUGGCUUCGAAAGCAAUGUCGACAGAACUAUGUUCGACUGAACGUCAGCCCUCGGUUUGGAUACUGUUGGUUGUUUCUUAGCAGACAAGGAGGAGAUCAUUGUUGAUCCGAGGAGAUCAAUGCCGCUAAUACCUUUUAAUAGGAGCCCAUAUAAAGCUUUUUAUUUGUGGACAGCGUCAAAUUAGCUUGAUUGCUUUUGUGCGCCCUUGAACUGGAAAAGAAUAGGUUGGGUCUUAUGUAGGUCGAGUAUUGUACGAUCCCAAUAGUGCUCCUGUGUGGAGAAGGAUCCAACUUUUAGAGAGCGGAGUGGCCGGUUAAACUGGGUUGAUUAGGAAGUGGUUUGACUGCUGUUUCGGUCGGACUUUAAGAAUCGUUUCAUGAAAAAUUUGUAAAUUGGGUCGUGAGCUGGCUAAAACGGCUGGUUGGUUAGCCCUGUUAGAAUGAAAAGCAAAUAAGAAACACUGCAAUCUGUGCAUUGUUGUUCAAACUUUGAACCUUCCAGAUAAAAGGUGAGACAACUAGCUCUGUUAGCACGACAAAUUUACACGUGUCAAAUUAACUAUAUAUUAUAAUAUAGUUCAACCCCAUUUCAACCCUGGUUGAACCUCUAAUCCUUAGACUCUUUGGUGGUUCGAUGGCUGGGUUAGUUCAAGGAUCUUGAAGUGGGUGGACUUUCUUUUGCCCUUCCCACCACCCUUAACUCAUUUGCGUACUUCAUUUGGGAUUUUAUUUGAUUCUUCAUUUAAGAGUUCUAAGCAUGAAUAUCGAUAAUGUGAGUUUAAGUCUCCUGAAGUUUGAGAACUUGAAUUUGACGAAGAUAGGUUAUAGGAAGAUAGGAGUGUACGGAAUUUGUGGUGGCUAGUUAUUACAAGAAUGUUGGUUGGGUUGUUGGAAUGUUGAGAGAGGAUAGUUAGGUAGGUUUUGGCUGUAGGGGAGGAUUAGUUUGAGCUUGAACAGGAGUGGGUUUGUUGGGAUUGAUAGUAAAUAAUUAAAGAUCAUAUAAGGUGGGAUAGUUUGCUAGUGGUGGACUUGAAGUUAGGGUUUUAGAAGAGGAAUAAGUUGGGUUCUUAUAAUAGUAGCUAUAAGUUUGCUGACUAUAAAUAAAUGGUUGGUGAAAGCUUCAGUUGGAUUUUGAAUAUGAAAAUUGAAAUUGUGGGAGAAUAGAGUGGGCAAUUGAAUCUUUUGAAAAAUUGGUGGGGAGAGCGAAUCUCAUCAAAUGAAACUGUUGGCUUGAAGGAUAGAAACAAUGUUAGCAUUCACCUUUGUGAUUACAUAAGUAACCAAGAAAAAAAAUGCACCGUAAGUUUAGUGGGCUUAGCUUGUGGGUUGCAGUAGAUAAAUUCGGGAAGCCUAGUGAACCAAAAACUGGUUAGUUAUUCAAUAAUUGAGGCAAAUUUCGGUGCACAAAUCGAACAGGAUUUUAAAAAUAUAUAUCAGUUUAUGACAAAAUAUUAACUAAAUGAGGAGUAUAUAACAGUUCAGUCCAAAUAUUAUAUGGCAUGUGAGCAUGGAGUAGGAGAGUUCAAAUCAUGUUUGUCGAAUGCUAACGUUUCCUCUAUGUUGUGCAAUUAUUUUGCGGUGUGUUGCAACAAGACUAAAUGAUGGACCUCUUCAUGUGAAAAUACAGAUUGAAAUCUUCUAUUCACAAAUUCACCUUCAUGGUCACUUUGGAAAUCAUGAAUAUUUAGUAUCAAAAAUACUAUAUUGUAGAAAAUUAAAAAUUUUUAAUUUUUCAUGCACUUUAUAUUUCUUAUAGCAAGAUCCAAGAAAAUUUUCAAACAUAAUUAAUGAAAAUGACAAAUUAUUUGAAUCCAGAAUGAGAUAAGAUUAAAAACAUAACACGAAUAAAAGGUUGAUAGAUUUGUGGUACAUAGGCAUAUAGAUAAAGCAGUUACAAAUAAAUUUUGCUCUAAGGUAAGGAUUAAAGUGAAACUGUGACUAAAGUUUGAAACCUUAAAUGGUCAACUUAAAAGCUAACCAACCAAAAUAAAAGUUGAUUAAAAAAAAAGACUAAAAGUUCAAGGGCUAGUGGUGAAAUUUAUCCAAUUCUUUAACCUGUAGUAUCUCCAUUUGAGAACACUCCAGGGCAUUCUUUGGGGUACAUCAACCAAAAUUGGAUUCAUAUCAUUUCUUGCGUCAAAGCUGCUGUUCCUGCAAUCUCGCACAGUAUCCAAACUAACCCAAAACUAUAAUCCUUGUUUCUUCUCUUUCACCACUCGACACUUGUCCGCUAUAUUCCUCUCUCUCUUCCUCUCUUCUCUCUGUUGAUUGUAAUCCUCGUUUGUUCUCUCUAGCUUUAUCUCUCCCGACAUAUCCUAUUAUCCUUUCUCUCUCCUCCACGAGCUAGUUAUCUGUAAAGUGGAUGUUGAUCUCUAACUAUUAAUUUCUAAUUAUAGUAAAAAUGUUGAAGGAAAGGAGGAGGAGGUGGUGCUCCAACCUUGCCACCAUUGAUUCUUCAACUUCUCCCCCUUUAUUGUAAAGAGAGAGAGUGCUUUUUUUUUUCUUUUUAUUUUUGUAUGUUUGCAUGCAUGUGCUGUGGGCAGAGAGGAGGGUUGAUGCUUAAUGUUAUAAAUAUAAAAUCAAAUGUGAUAGAUGUGAUCUACACCAUCUAAAGAUAGUGUAAUUGGUCAAAAUUAUCAGCCCAAGCCCUGGUAGAACAUGUAGAACCAUGCUGAAAAUAGCGAGGAAACCUUUUUUAAGGUUUGCAAGUGAAGCUUUGAGCCUUUCACUGCAUUAGACUUGUUGAUACUUGAUCAAGAAAAAGUGAUUUGAGCACUCUUGCUUGGAAUCAGACUUCCAUCUUUUCCCAACCCCUAUCUCCAAUGCUUCACGAGAAAUAGAAGCAGUAGAUUGACUCAUUAUAGUUUGAAGGGGAUCAAACAAGAGAGUAUGAUUGAUCUGUAAGAAUACUAUGAUUUAGAAAAGUGAAUCGGACUGACCGGUCAAACUGGGUUAAUGGGGAAUCGAUUUGACAGCUGGUUUAGUUCAAUUUUAAGAACCUAUUUUAGCAUAUAACCAAAUCAAACAGGUCCAAACCACUUGAAUUGGCCGGUUAACUACAAACCUGUUGGUUCAAGCAACCUGGUUUGGUAUAUGGUUAAGAAUAAAAAUUUUAUUUGUUUCAAGGAAGGUUCGAACCUGCAUCCAAACCAAAGGCAAUUAAUAGAUUAACUACUGGACUAAGAAACUACCGGACUAAGAUAUGCUUUCUUAUAACAAGUGGAAAUUCUAUAUAACAUAUUAAUCGAGUUAAUUUUGUUAGAAAAUAUAUUUGUAAUCAUAUUAUAUAUUUAUUUGUUUAUUUACAUGUAUUAUUUAUUUAUUUUUAUAUUUAUAUAUUUUUAUAUUUUGACCCUACUUCAACGUCGGUUAUCAGUUUGAUGGCCGGUUCGGUUCUCAAAACAUUGAUAAAUACAAUCAAAUUAAUGGCAAGCCUUUGGUUACUAAUUCGCAAAACACCUUCAUAUUUUGAAUUGGAACAUGCGAUUUGAUUCAUAGAUGUUAUGACAAAAGCAGAAAAGAUCUAGUUAGUAGGGCACGAAAAUAUUAAAAGAGAAUCGAGAAAGAGAAGGAAAAUAAAGCAUACAAAUAUUUACGUAGUUCGGCCGCUAGGCUCUCUGUCCGUAGGCUACGAUGGUGCGAAGAAUUUCAUUAUAAUCAAAGCGGAGUACAUAAAACGUCUCUCUCACAAACUUUAGCCCCAAAAUGCACCCCAUAUUCUUGCCCAUACGCCGGGCCAAAUCGGGAGAAUAAAGUGUAUAUUUAUAUUAGAAAAAAAAAAAAACCCAAUAAGACUAUAAAUAAUUUCAAUAAGAUUAAGCAUAAUUUAAACUUAAUGGGGUAACCAAAACAAAAUAGGGGCAAAUCUUGCGGUUCAAAAAUUCGAGACAUAUCUAACAAUCUUUACCUUGCUUGAAUUCUCCGUUUUCUCCACCAAAAGUCCCAAAGGCUCCUUAAAUGCUGCUGCACAUUUAAACCAAGCCUGUGGAAUAUUAACUUUGGUCAUCAAAAUAGGCUUAAUAAGCAAACUGGCAGUUCUAAAGUGUCAAUCUUUUCAUUUUCCAGUAAUGCUUCUUGCAAUAUCUGUUGCAUUAGAAUGAUAUCUUGUCGAAGAGCGAAACUACUGAAUCGAUCAAGCAUCUCGGUCUCAAAUUUUGUCAACAUCUUGAAUACCCAAACGAAACGGUUGGCUUCGAUACCGGUUUGUUAUUACAAAACCAAAAAAGAUAUAGUUCAUCGGGCACAAAAAUACCAAAAGAGAAUCGAAAAAAGAGAAGAAAAAUAAAAUACACAAAUAUUUACGUGGUUAGACCACUCCCCUACGCCCAAGCGAAGAUGCAGCAGAGACUUUCAUUAUAAUCGAAGUGGAGUACAAAGAUGCCUUCCUCACAAAACCCUAGCCUCAAAAUACACUCCAUAUUCUUGCACAUCCGCCAUACCAAAUCAAUGGAAUAAAGGGUUUAUUUAUAUUAGAAACUAAAGCCCAGUAAGACUAGGAAUAAUUUCAAUAAGACUAGGCAUGAUCUAAACUUUAAUGGGAUAACCAAAACAGAAUAAGAUUAGGAAACCUUGUGGUUCCAGAAUUUGAGACAUAUCUAACUAAAGAUCAUGAGUGAAUUGGAACGGCAAAAUGAGCAAUCCCAUGCUAACCUGUUUACUCUAUUCCGGAACCAUAUCGAGAGCAAUAUAUACACUUAUAUUUAUGUAUAUUCAUGUAUAUGUAUGCAUAUGUUUUGUGUGUAUCAAAUGCAUGUUUUCUAUUCCUAUAAAUGCAUGUCAAUGUAGACUACACCCAUUGUACCAUGUUUUAGAGUAAUGAAGAAGACAUCGUCAUAGCACUCAGGAAAGAAGGUUUUAUAGCCUGUGCUGUGAUACCAUAAUGAUCGUGAGAAGCUUAUCUAGUUUGGGUGGUGUAAUAUUAAUAGUUGAAUAAAUUAUUCAAAGUAGAUACAAGACUAAUUAUUAAUGAGUUCUAGGUGUACAAAGGCAAUCAAUACACUAGCACAUUUAGCACCAAUAUUUGGGACAUGGAAUGAAGCUCUAUAUUCGGAUGGAAGAAAUCAUGAAUGAGAGAAAGUAUAUUAACAAAACGCCUAUAAGUGAAGAAGCCAAUAGGGAACUAAAGCCCUUGUAAUGUGCACUGUGGUUGGCGCUCCGAACUGCAAAUGUGGUUGGCUAAUCUCAUAUGCAGUGAUUUAAAACCCCAAACCAUUUACUAUCCUGAAAUAUUGCUGGGUCACAAGUCACGGGUCAAUGGUCAUUGGUUCAACUAGUGGUUCAGCUACUGGAUUGAAUGAUGUCAGCAUGACAUUAUAAAUAUUUAAUUAUUAUUUUUUCAUACUAGAUAUAUAAAAAAUAUACUAAGUAUAGUAUUCUGUAUUAUUUUAAAAUAUUAUUGUAUUAUAUAUAAUUAAAAAUGUAUCCAAAGUGUAGAUUAUUAAAAAAACUAAUGCAUGUUUUUAAUUAAUUAUUGAAAUAAAAAUAAAAAGAAACCCAGCUAGUUUUUGUAAAAUUGGGCCAGUUCACUGGUUGAGCCACUGGUCUGAACAGGUCUAAAUGGAUUUUAAACUAGUUCAUUUUAUGGGUUGAACCAAACUAGUUGGGCACUAGGUCAUGGUCCAGCCGGUCCGACUGGCCAGGUCAACCCGGGUUUUAAAACAUUGGUCAUAUGUUGAUGUUGGGAAUACUGCAUUUUUAUUCAUUGACUUGUGAAGUCUCGUGAUAUGGAACUACCUAAGAAAUUGGAUUUGCUGCUGAUCUAUAUCUGAGAGAUAAAGCAGUCUCUCUCUAGGGAAAUUCUGCAUUUGCAUAUUUAGCAAAAAUCUAAGAUAGUUGCAUAGGUUUUUGAGUUAUUUGUUAGGGCUAAGCUUUUUGCUUGGUUCUACUUGAGAACACCUUGAUUUUGCAGAACAUCAUAAUCCCAUGCUUCUGUAGUUAAAUUUUACAUCUCCUUAGUAGCCUUCCUUACUUCUACCUCUGAAUGAAACUAUUUAUGCCUUCUUUUCAGGACACCUUUGACAUUGAUUUGCUGUGGGAAAUGCAGCUUCCAUGGUGAAUAAAGUUUCCUGCAACGAGGAUAUGCUAGAUUCGGCAUUCCAGCCACUCACAUCAGAGACUCUGAUCGAGGCAAUUCUCAUACUUACAUCUAUGGCUAGAAUUUUGUUUAAAUUUUUAUUUUGUUAUUUGAGUUUCUUUUUUUAUUAUGAUGAUGUGCAGGUUACAAUUGAAAUUCCAUUUGCAUUUCGAGCAAUACCAGUGGAAGUGAUUGAAUCAACUGGUAGGCAGGUCCUUGAGCAGCUAUUGAGAAUAAUGCUUCCGCGAUUUCUUAAGCAGGUAAUAUCAAGUUUCUUUACUACAGGCUCAAGUAUAUACUUUGCUUUUAAAUGAAAGCAGAACAUUGUGCAACACAGGCUAUAAAUGGAGCCAUUGAUUCCAUAUAUCAAACUCUUUAUCACAAGAAAGGGAGAAAAUUAAAUAAUGUUAAAUUUGUGGUUUACUCGGAAACUAUUCUUGGAGUAUCUGUGGUUGUUUAAAUUUUGUGAGUAGUAUGAAGUACCUUUCUUGUUAUCAGCAGGACCAGAUAUACUCAAAUAAGAAAAUAAAUGUUAUCAUGUAAAGUGCUGAGGUUACCGAGAUGAGGCCACCUAGAUAAAUUACUUUUUGGGGUAUCAAUAACUAACGGCAUAACACCCUGUAAUAACUUCCAAACUGCACCUUGGUCAGCAGAAUCUUUUUUUUUUCUUUAAAUUUUCUUUAAAUUUUUUUUCUUUCAUGUUCAUGUUUGUUGACCCUGUCUUCCUUUUUAUAUAUAGUGUAUUUUGUUUUCAUCCACGACCCACUGCAGUCGGGUUUUUGUUGUGACUGCUUUCUUGGCUUUUGUUGCAUGUUAACCACACGAAAAUAGUAAUUUCACUGUGGAAACCAACAAACAGGGUUGUUUCUGUUAAGUUGGUUACUAGGCAAGGGCGGUCACUUAUCUCUCUAGCUAUGAUGUUCAAAUUUUGGAAUUGGGCACCAUAGCAUACUUGUUUAAAUUAAACAGAAAACUACUCAAAAUCUCAUCGAAUGCACGAUGUGCGUCAAUGUUUUCUAAUUCAACUCCUGUGCUAGAGACCUGUAUAUAUGUUCCUUCCAAGAAAAAAGUUCACGGUUUAUUUUUUCUAGGAGUGAUUGUAGGCAGGAUUCCCUUGACUAUGUGCAUCCUGCAUUGUAAAUUUUAUGGUGAUGUACAUCAUUGAACUCUCUUCGAAAUCCUGAGCUAUGUUUUGCUCUUAUGUAACCAAAAUCUUUUCUGUUCUUAUUAGAGCCACAAAGUAUCGUUGUGGUAGCCAAACCACUUAGACAUAUUCUGUAGAUAAGACAUUUGAAUUUGACUCUGCAUGUGGGAAUAUUCGGAGCAUUUUUGUCGGUGCUCUUUAAAUUACGUUCUUUGUUUCAGCUAGUAAAGGACUACCAAGCAUGGGCUUCGGGUGAUACCUCGAGGCAGCCACUCGGCACCGGUGAAAUUUGAAGCAAAAGGCGCUCAGAGAACUCUGCUCUGUAAGCCUCCACCUCUGCUCCUGGUUUCUUUGACUUUGUUAAAUUAUUCAUGUUUAUGUUAAUUAUGUAGUGCUCAGGUAUUUGCUUCUUAAGUAGUGUACAACAAAAACUGAAAUUUGAUGAACAAUUUGUAUUCCUAUGUUCGUCUUCUUUUUCUUCAUUUUUCUUUUUUUCCUGUAUGAACAGUUUUUAGAAUCUCAGGAAUCAAAGCUAUGGUGAUUGUCAUCUACUUGUAAUUCGAAUUAGCCAUAUAAAAAUUGUCAUCCACUAGUAAUCAAACCUAUGAAAAUUGAAUUGGUUAUCACAUAACAAAAUUAUUUUGUGUGGUACAUUGUUCUCAUUUUGAAAAUUGUUAUUAUCAAUGCCAUUUAAAUCUUUUUUUAUCAUAUUUUGAACUUUAAGCCACAUAUAGAAUCUUUCCUGUAACUAAAUGUUGAAGAUUCUCUUUAUUCAUAUGGGCUAUGUUUCUCAUUAAUUCAGUAUUUGUUUGUCUCUUUUUCUUUGCACCUUACUAUAUGUAAAAUAACGCCUGUUUUGUGAUUAUGUCAUGUACACCGCUUGUGGUUUUUUUUUUUUUUUUUUGUAUAAUUUUCUGGGAAAAAUGUACAAACACGCCUAAACUUUAGCUCUUUUACAAAAAUAUGCAUUUGAACUUUCAAUUUUGAUAAUUACUUUCUCUGAGCUUUAUCAAAUAGUUUAAUAGGUUACUCUCCUCCAUCGAAAUUAUUAUUAGACUGCUGCUUUUAUACAUUAGAAUAGUUUAUGUUUUGAAUUUUAUAAGAUUAUGUGUAAGAUAUACAAUCAAAGCGGUUGUAUUAUUAAAAAUUUCAAUGAAAAUUGAACUAUAUAAUAAAAUUUAGUUGCUAAAAUUAAAGUUCAAAUAUUUAUUUACAAAAGAACUUAGCGGUUCUCUAUCACAUUUUGUCGGAUCGUUGACGCUAGCUAUUAAUCUCAAAAGCUCAAGCUGUUAGAAAUAUACAAUAAAUUCACUUAAAGUGUACAGAUACAGCGUCCAUGAGUCUCAAUUGUGAUUCGGUCGAACCGGCUUCAGGCCACUUUGAUGAUGACUCUGCCCAUUUAGCCUCACACCAUUUUGAACAUGAUUCGGUCUAACAUGACCUCCUGUCACAGGGCAGAAUGCUGGCUUAUUUAAGCCAACAUAUUUUCUAUUUCUUUUCUUUUUUUUU
rnacentral:lncRNA from 1 species